rnacentral:lncRNA from 1 species
GAAUAUAUCCUCUUUUAUAAUCACACCAGCAUUUAAAACCACGACAUUCCAACAUAUACCUAUCCUUUCUCAUACAAUGACGUGCACAUUCUUGACAAAAACCAAUUUCGUUCGUAGCAGCAUGGUUUCCAUGAAUUUCAUAAUCGGGAAGUUGAUUUGGGCUUGCUGCUGGAUUGGACAUAUGAGUUUCAUCGCCAAAAAUAGAUUUUGUCAAAAUAUUUGACGCACUUAUAAAAUUUUUCAAACAAAUGUUAGUUAUAGUUAUUAUAUUUUAAUAAAGGUUUUUGAUAUUUUAUAUAUCAUCUUUUCUAGCAAAACUAGGCUUACAUGAUAAAACAAGAAAUAAAAGAGUGAAAAACAAAACAUUUAUCUUCAUUCCUGUUUUGGAAGUUCAACAACAGCUGUAAAAAGUGAGUUUUGGUUGAUGUUUUAAGUUUAUUUUUUUGUGAAAUUUAUAAGUUUAGUUGUGUCAUAUUUAUAGCUGUUUUCACCUAUGUUACACAAUAGUAAUAGUUUAAUCAACAUCUUUUAAGUAAUUAAUAGACAUUAGAAAAACUGUUCUUUUUUUUAAAUAAUAGUAUUCGUUUUCAAAUAUUCAUAUAAGUGUAAUGGUAAUUAUUAUUAGUCAUUAAUUGUUAAGCGUAGAUAAAAACAGUAUUUUCAUUAUUGUAUAUUUAAUUUUUUAUAUAGAGAGAGUGAAAUAGAGUAUGAAAUCCAACUUGAGAUCAUUAUCGAUAAAAUAUAUUAGUUAUCAAUGUUAUAAGUUUUAUUUUUAGUAGUAUAUUUUUCUACUAACAGUAUCAAAUGUAAGAACACAAACUCGACUUUGAAAUGGUUUUAUAUAUGCCUGGUGAUUUAGCAAAUUUUCGUGUCGACGCACGUAGUUGUUGGUGCAUAUUAAUAAGUAUUAAAGAGAAUUUUCGAUAGCCAAUUUUUUAUCACCAAGCGAGUUUUCUCCGAAUUUUUACCCAUAUUUACAUGGUACUAGAACAAAUUUUUGUGUAAAUAAUUAGCUUUGAAAUUUUUUCCAGCAUAACCAGUUUUCAUUUCAGAGUUCUUUCAAGAUGAAUUAUAGAGAAGAGAAACUGUACAUUGAGAAUUUUUAUAGGAUCGUAAAUAUAUCCUGUAUAGUAAUACACUUUUUCUCAAUGUACACUUUCUCUUAAUCCACUCAAAGUAGUAUGAAAGUGUUAUUGAAAAAAGUUCAUAGUUUAUAUAAAAUUGAUCUCUUUUUGUUGUGGUUAAUAACAUUGCACAAAAUUUAUGUCCAAUACAUUCAUGCGUAGAUAACAUAUAUAUUUUUAUAAAGUGUAAAUAAUAUAAAGUUUCAAUGAAAAACUAACACUGAUUUGAAAACAAACGUCUUAUUAUUUUUCAAUAAUAUAUAUUUCAAAGAAAAUACAACAGUUUAUCCUGGAAUAUAUCCUCUUUUAUAAUCACACCAGCAUUUAAAACCACGACAUUCCAACAUAUACCUAUCCUUUCUCAUACAAUGACGUGCACAUUCUUGACAAAAACCAAUUUCGUUCGUAGCAGCAUGGUUUCCAUGAAUUUCAUAAUCGGGAAGUUGAUUUGGGGUUGCUGCUGGAUUGGACAUAUGGGUUUUAUCGCCAGAAAUAGAUUUUGUCAUAAUAUUUGACGCACCUAUAAAAAUUUUCAAACAAAUGUUAGUUAUAGUUAUAAUAUUUUAAUAAAGGUUUUUGAUAUUUUAUAUAUCAUCUUUUCUAGCAAAACUAGGCUUACAUGAUAAAACAAGAAUUAAAAGAGUGAAAAACAAAACAUUUAUCUUCAAUCCUGUUUUGGAAGUUCAACAACAGCUGUAAACAGGGAGUUUUGGUUGAUGUUUUAAGUUUAUUUUUUUGUGAAAUUUAUAAGUUUAGUUGUGUCAUAUUUAUAGCUGUUUUCACCUAUGUUACACAAUAGUAAUAGUUUAAUCAACAUCUUUUAAGUAAUUAAUAGACAUUAGAAAAACUGUUCUUUUCUUUAAAUAAUAGUAUUCGUUUUCAAAUAUUCAUAUAAGUGUAAUGGUAAUUAUUAUUAGUCAUUAAUUGUUAAGUGUAGAUAAAAAUAGUAUUUUCAUUAUUGUAUAUUUAAUUUUUUAUAUAGAGAGAGUGAAAUAGAGUAUGAAAUCCAUCUUGAGAUCAUUAUCGAUAAAAUAUAUUAGUUAUCAAUGUUAUAAGUUUUAUUUUUAGUAGUAUAUUUUUAUACUAACAGUAUCAAAUGUAAGAACACAAACUCGACUUUGAAAUGGUUUUAUAUAUGCCUGGUGAUUUAGCAAAUUUUCGUGUCGACGCACGUAGUUGUUGGUGCAUAUUAAUAUGUAUUAAAGAAAUUUUUGAUAGCCAAUUUUUUAUCACCAAGCGAGUUUUCUCCGAAUUUUUACCCAUAUUUACAUGGUACUAGAACAAAUUUUUGUGUAAAUAAUUAGCUUUGAAAUUUUUUCCAGCAUAACCAGUUUUCAUUUCAGAGUUCUUUCAAGAUGAAUUAUAGAGAAGAGAAACUGUACAUUGAGAAUUUUUAUAGGAUAGUAAAUAUAUCUUGUAUAGUAAGACACUUUUUCUCAAUGUACACAUUCUCUUAAUCCACUCAAAGUAGUAUGAAAGUGUUAUUGAAAAAAGUUCAUAGUUUAUAUAAAAUUGAUCUCUUUUUGUUGUGGUUAAUAACAUUGCACAAAAUUUAUGUCCAAUACAUUCAUGCGUAGAUAACAUAUAUAUUUUUAUAAAGUGUAAAUAAUAUAAAGUUUCAAUGAAAAACUAACACUGAUUUGAAAACAAACGUCUUAUUAUUUUUCAAUAAUAUAUAUUUCAAAGAAAAUACAACAGUUUAUCCUGGAAUAUAUCCUCUUUUAUAAUCACACCAGCAUUUAAAACCACGACAUUCCAACAUAUACCUAUCCUUUCUCAUACAAUGACGUGCACAUUCUUGACAAAAACCAAUUUCGUUCGUAGCAGCAUGGUUUCCAUGAAUUUCAUAAUCGGGAAGUUGAUUUGGGCUUGCUGCUGGAUUGGACAUAUGGGUUUUAUCGCCAGAAAUAGAUUUUGUCAUAAUAUUUGACGCACCUAUAAAAAUUUUCAAACAAAUGUUAGUUAUAGUUAUAAUAUUUUAAUAAAGGUUUUUGAUAUUUUAUAUAUCAUCUUUUCUAGCAAAACUAGGCUUACAUGAUAAAACAAGAAAUAAAAGAGUGAAAAACAAAACAUUUAUCUUCAUUCCUGUUUUGGAAGUUCAACAACAGCUGUAAACAGUGAGUUUUGGUUGAUGUUUUAAGUUUAUUUUUUUGUGAAAUUUAUAAGUUUAGUUGUGUCAUAUUUAUAGCUGUUUUCACCUAUGUUACACAAUAGUAAUAGUUUAAUCAACAUCUUUUAAGUAAUUAAUAGACAUUAGAAAAACUGUUCUUUUUUUAAAAAAUAAUAGUAUUCGUUUUCAAAUAUUCAUAUAAGUGUAAUGGUAAUUAUUAUUAGUCAUUAAUUGUUAAGUGUAGAUAAAAACAGUAUUUUCAUUAUUGUAUAUUUAAUUUUUUAUAUAGAGAGAGUGAAAUAGAGUAUGAAAUCCAACUUGAGAUCAUUAUCGAUAAAAUAUAUUAGUUAUCAAUGUUAUAAGUUUUAUUUUUAGUAGUAUAUUUUUAUAAUAACAGUAUCAAAUGUAAGAACACAAACUCGACUUUGAAAUGGUUUUAUAUAUGCCUGGUGAUUUAGCAAAUUUUCGUGUCGACGCACGUAGUUGUUGGUGCAUAUUAAUAAGUAUUAAAGAGAAUUUUCGAUAGCCAAUUUUUUAUCACCAAGCGAGUUUUCUCCGAAUUUUUACCCAUAUUUACAUGGUACUAGAAUAAAUUUUUGUGUAAAUAAUUAGCUUUGAAAUUUUUUCCAGCGUAACCAGUUUUCAUUUCAGAGUUCUUUCAAGAUGAAUUAUAGAGAAGAGAAACUGUACAUUGAGAAUUGUUAUAGGAUAGUAAAUAUAUCCUGUAUAGUAAUACACUUUUUCUCAGUGUACACUUUCUCUUAAUCCACUCAAAGUAGUAUGAAAGUGUUAUUGAAAAAAGUUCAUAGUUUAUAUAAAAUUGAUCUCUUUUUGUUGUGGUUAAUAACAUUGCACAAAAUUUAUGUCCAAUACAUUCAUGCGUAGAUAACAUAUAUAUUUUUAUAAAGUGUAAAUAAUAUAAAGUUUCAAUGAAAAACUAACACUGAUUUGAAAACAAACGUCUUAUUAUUUUUCAAUAAUAUAUAUUUCAAAGAAAAUACAACAGUUUAUCCUGGAAUAUAUCCUCUUUUAUAAUCACACCAGCAUUUAAAACCACGACAUUCCAACAUAUACCUAUCCUUUCUCAUACAAUGACGUGCACAUUCUUGACAAAAACCAAUUUCGUUCGUAGCAGCAUGGUUUCCAUGAAUUUCAUAAUCGGGAAGUUGAUUUGGGCUUGCUGCUGGAUUGGACAUAUGAGUUUUAUCGCCAGAAAUAGAUUUUGUCAUAAUAUUUGACGCACCUAUAAAAAUUUUCAAACAAAUGUUAGUUAUAGUUAUAAUAUUUUAAUAAAGGUUUUUGAUAUUUUAUAUAUCAUCUUUUCUAGCAAAACUAGGCUUACAUGGUAAAACAAGAAUUAAAAGAGUGAAAAACAAAACAUUUAUCUUCAAUCCUGUUUUGGAAGUUCAACAACAGCUGUAAACAGGGAGUUUUGGUUGAUGUUUUAAGUUUAUUUUUUUGUGAAAUUUAUAAGUUUAGUUGUGUUAUAUUUAUAGCUGUUUUCACCAAUAUUACACAAUAGUAAUAGUUUAAUCAACAUCUUUUAAGUAAUUAAUAGACAUUAGAAAAACUGUUCUCUUUUUUAAAUAAUAGUAUUCGUUUUCAAAUAUUCAUAUAAGUGUAAUGGUAAUUAUUAUUAGUCAUUAAUUGUUAAGCGUAGAUAAAAACAGUAUUUUCAUUAUUGUAUAUUUAAUUUUUUUAUAUAGAGAGAGUGAAAUAGAGUAUGAAAUCCAACUUGAGAUCAUUAUCGAUAAAAUAUAUUAGUUAUCAAUGUUAUAAGUUUUAUUUUUAGUAGUAUAUUUUUCUACUAACAGUAUCAAAUGUAAGAACACAAACUCGACUUUGAAAUGGUUUUAUAUAUGCCUGGUGAUUUAGCAAAUUUUCGUGUCGACGCACGUAGUUGUUGGUGCAUAUUAAUAAGUAUUAAAGAAAUUUUUGAUAGCCAAUUUUUUAUCACCAAGCGAGUUUUCUCCGAAUUUUUACCCAUAUUUACAUGGUACUAGAACAAAUUUUUGUGUAAAUAAUUAGCUUUGAAAUUUUUUCCAGCGUAACCAUUUUUUAUUUCAGAGUUCUUUCAAGAUGAAUUAUAGAGAAGAGAAACUGUACAUUGAGAAUUUUUAUAGGAUAGUAAAUAUAUCCUGUAUAGUAAUACACUUUUUCUCAGUGUACACUUUCUCUUAAUCCACUCAAAGUAGUAUGAAAGUGUUAUUGAAAAAAGUUCAUAGUUUAUAUAAAAUUGAUCUCUUUUUGUUGUGGUUAAUAACAUUGCACAAAAUUUAUGUCCAAUACAUUCAUGCGUAGAUAACAUAUAUAUUUUUAUAAAGUGUAAAUAAUAUAAAGUUUCAAUGAAAAACUAACACUGAUUUGAAAACAAACGUCUUAUUAUUUUUCAAUAAUAUAUAUUUCAAAGAAAAUACAACAGUUUAUCCUGGAAUAUAUCCUCUUUUAUAAUCACACCAGCAUUUAAAACCACGACAUUCCAACAUAUACCUAUCCUUUCUCAUACAAUGACGUGCACAUUCUUGACAAAAACCAAUUUCGUUCGUAGCAGCAUGGUUUCCAUAAUUUUCAUAAUCGGGAAGUUGAUUUGGGCUUGCUGCUGGAUUGGACAUAUGGGUUUUAUCGCCAGAAAUAGAUUUUGUCAUAAUAUUUGACGCACCUAUAAAAAUUUUCAAACAAAUGUUAGUUAUAGUUAUAAUAUUUUAAUAAAGGUUUUUGAUAUUUUAUAUAUCAUCUUUUCUAGCAAAACUAGGCUUACAUGAUAAAACAAGAAAUAAAAGAGUGAAAAACAAAACAUUUAUCUUCAUUCCUGUUUUGGAAGUUCAACAACAGCUGUAAACAGUGAGUUUUGGUUGAUGUUUUAAGUUUAUUUUUUUGUGAAAUUUAUAAGUUUAGUUGUGUUAUAUUUAUAGCUGUUUUCACCUAUGUUACACAAUAGUAAUAGUUUAAUCAACAUCUUUUAAGUAAUUAAUAGACAUUAGCAAAACUGUUCUUUUUUUUAAAUAAUAGUAUUCGUUUUCAAAUAUUCAUAUAAGUGUAAUGGUAAUUAUUAUUAGUCAUUAAUUGUUAAGCGUAGAUAAAAACAGUAUUUUCAUUAUUGUAUAUUUAAUUUUUUAUAUAGAGAGAGUGAAAUAGAGUAUGAAAUCCAACUUGAGAUCAUUAUCGAUAAAAUAUAUUAGUUAUCAAUGUUAUAAGUUUUAUUUUUAGUAGUAUAUUUUUAUACUAACAGUAUCAAAUGUAAGAGCACAAACUCGACUUUGAAAUGGUUUUAUAUAUGCCUGGUGAUUUAGCAAAUUUUCGUGUCGACGCACGUAGUUGUUGGUGCAUAUUAAUAAGUAUUCAAGAGAAUUUUCGAUAGCCAAUUUUUUAUCACCAAGCGAGUUUUCUCUGAAUUUUUACCCAUAUUUACAUGGUACUAGAACAAAUUUUUGUGUAAAUAAUUAGCUUUGAAAUUUUUUCCAGCAUAACCAGUUUUCAUUUCAGAGUUCUUUCAAGAUGAAUUAUAGAGAAGGGAAACUGUACAUUGAGAAUUUUUAUAGGAUAGUAAAUAUAUCCUGUAUAGUAAUACACUUUUUCUCAAUGUUCACUUUCUCUUAAUCCACUCAAAGUAGUAUGAAAGUGUUAUUGAAAAAAGUUCAUAGUUUAUAUAAAAUUGAUCUUUUUUUGUUGUGGUUGAUAACAUUUCACAAAAUUUAUGUCCAAUACAUUCAUGCGUAGAUAACAUAUAUAUUUUUAUAAAGUGUAAAUAAUAUAAAGUUUCAAUGAAAAACUAACACUGAUUUGAAAACAAACGUCUUAUUAUUUUUCAAUAAUAUAUAUUUCAAAGAAAAUACAACAGUUUAUCCUGGAAUAUAUCCUCUUUUAUAAUCACACCAGCAUUUAAAACCACGAAAUUCCAACAUAUACCUAUCCUUUCUCAUACAAUGACGUGCACAUUCUUGACAAAAACCAAUUUCGUUCGUAGCAGCAUGGUUUCCAUGAAUUUCAUAAUCGGGAAGUUGAUUUGGGGUUGCUGCUGGAUUGGACAUAUGAGUUUCAUCGCCAAAAAUAGAUUUUGUCAUAAUAUUUGACGCACCUAUAAAAUUUUUCAAACAAAUGUUAGUUAUAGUUAUAAUAUUUUAAUAAAGGUUUUUGAUAUUUUAUAUAUCAUCUUUUCUAGCAAAACUAGGCUUACAUGAUAAAACAAGAAAUAAAAGAGUGAAAAACAAAACAUUUAUCUUCAUUCCUGUUUUGGAAGUUCAACAACAGCUGUAAACAGUGAGUUUUGGUUGAUGUUUUAAGUUUAUUUUUUUGUGAAAUUUAUAAGUUUAGUUGUGUUAUAUUUAUAGCUGUUUUCACCUAUGUUACACAAUAGUAAUAGUUUAAUCAACAUCUUUUAAGUAAUUAAUAGACAUUAGCAAAACUGUUCUUUUUUUUAAAUAAUAGUAUUCGUUUUCAAAUAUUCAUAUAAGUGUAAUGGUAAUUAUUAUUAGUCAUUAAUUGUUAAGCGUAGAUAAAAACAGUAUUUUCAUUAUUGUAUAUUUAAUUUUUUAUAUAGAGAGAGUGAAAUAAAGUAUGAAAUCCAACUUGAGAUCAUUGUCGAUAAAAUAUAUUAGUUAUCAAUGUUAUAAGUUUUAUUUUUAGUAGUAUAUUUUUAUACUAACAGUAUCAAAUGUAAGAACACAAACUCGACUUUGAAAUGGUUUUAUAUAUGCCUGGUCAUUUAGCAAAUUUUCGUGUCGACGCCCGUGGUUGUUGGUGCAUAUUAAUAAGUAUUAAAGAGAAUUUUUGAUAGCCAAUUUUUUAUCACCAAGCGAGUUUUCUUCUAAUUUUUACCCAUAUUUACAUGCUACUAGAAAAACUUUUUGUGUAAAUAAUUAGCUUUGAAAUUUUUUCCAGCAUAACCAGUUUUCAUUUCAGAGUUCUUUCAAGAUGAAUUAUAGAGACGAUAAACUGUACAUUGAGAAUUUUUAUAGGAUAGUAAAUAUAUCCUGUAUAGUAAUACACUUUUUCUCAAUGUACACUUUCUCUUAAUCCACUCAAAGUAGUAUGAAAGUGUUAUUGAAAAAAGUUCAUAGUUUAUAUAAAAUUGAUCUCUUUUUGUUGUGGUUGAUAACAUUGCACAAAAUUUAUGUCCAAUACAUUCAUGCGUAGAUAACAUAUAUAUUUUUAUAAAGUGUAAAUAAUAUAAAGUUUCAAUGAAAAACUAACACUGAUUUGAAAACAAACGUCUUAUUAUUUUUCAAUAAUAUAUAUUUCAAAGAAAAUACAACAGUUUAUCCAGGAAUAUAUCCUCUUUUAUAAUCACACCAGCAUUUAAAACCACGACAUUCCAACAUAUACCUAUCCUUUCUCAUACAAUGACGUGCACAUUCUUGACAAAAACCAAUUUCGUUUGUAGCAGCAUGGUUUCCAUGAAUUUCAUAAUCGGGAAGUUGAUUUGGGCUUGCUGCUGGAUUGGACAUAUGAGUUUCAUCGCCAAAAAAAGAUUUUGUCAUAAUAUUUGACGCACCUAUAAAAUUUUUCAAACAAAUGUUAGUUAUAGUUAUAAUAUUUUAAUAAAGGUUUUUGAUAUUUUAUAUAUCAUCUUUUCUAGCAAAACUAGGCUUACAUGAUAAAACAAGAAAUAAAAGAGUGAAAAACAAAACAUUUAUCUUCAUUCCUGUUUUGGAAGUUCAACAACAGCUGUAAACAGUGAGUUUUGGUUGAUGUUUUAAGUUUAUUUUUUUGUGAAAUUUAUAAGUUUAGUUGUGUUAUAUUUAUAGCUGUUUUCACCUAUGUUACACAAUAGUAAUAGUUUAAUCAACAUCUUUUAAGUAAUUAAUAGACAUUAGCAAAACUGUUCUUUUUUUUAAAUAAUAGGAUUCGUUUUCAAAUAUUCAUAUAAGUGUAAUGGUAAUUAUUAUUAGUCAUUAAUUGUUAAGCGUAGAUAAAAACAGUAUUUUCAUUAUUGUAUAUUUAAUUUUUUAUAUAGAGAGAGUGAAAUAAAGUAUGAAAUCCAACUUGAGAUCAUUAUCGAUAAAAUAUAUUAGUUAUCAAUGUUAUAAGUUUUAUUUUUAGUAGUAUAUUUUUAUACUAACAGUAUCAAAUGUAAGAACACAAACUCGACUUUGAAAUGGUUUUAUAUAUGCCUGGUGAUUUAGCAAAUUUUCGUGUCGACGAACGUAGUUGUUGGUGCAUAUUAAUAAGUAUUAAAGAAAAUUUUUGAUAGCCAAUUUUUUAUCACCAAGCGAGUUUUCUCCGAAUUUUUACCCAUAAUUACAUGGUACUAGAACAAAUUUUUGUGUAAAUAAUUAGCUUUGAAUUUUUUUCCAGCAUAACCAGUUUUCAUUUCAGAGUUCUUUCAAGAUAAAUUAUAGAGAAGAGAAACUGUACAUUGAGAAUUUUUAUAGGAUAGUAAAUAUAUCCUGUAUAGUAAUACACUUUUUCUCAAUGUACACUUUCUCUUAAUCCACUCAAAGUAGUAUGAAAGUGUUAUAGAAAAAAGUUAAUAGUUUAUAUAAAAUUGAUCUCUUUUUGUUGUGGUUAAUAACAUUGCACAAAAUUUAUGUCCAAUACAUUCAUGCGUAGAUAACAUAUAUAUUUUUAUAAAGUGUAAAUAAUAUAAAGUUUCAAUGAAAAACUAACACUGAUUUGAAAACAAACGUCUUAUUAUUUAUCAAUAAUAUAUAUUUCAAAGAAAAUACAACAGUUUAUCGAGGAAUAUAUCCUCUUUUAUAAUCACACCAGCAUUUAAAACCACGACAUUCCAACAUAUACCUAUCCUUUCUCAUACAAUGACGUGCACAUUCUUGACAAAAAUCAAUUUCGUUCGUAGCAGCAUGGUUUCCAUGAAUUUCAUAAUCGGGAAGUUGAUUUGGGCUUGCUGCUGGAUUGGACAUAUGAGUUUUUUCGCCAGAAAUAGAUUUUGUCUUAAUAUUGACGCACCUACAAAAUUUUUCAAACAAAUGUUAGUUAUAGUUAUUAUAUUUUAAUAAAGGUUUUUGAUAUUUUAUAUAUCAUCUUUUCUAGCAAAACUAGACUUACAUGAUAAAACAAUAAUUAAAAGAGUGAAAAACAAAACAUUUAUCUUCAUUCCUGUUUUGGAAGUUCAACAACAGCUGUAAAAAGUGAGUUUUGGUUGAUGUUUUAAAUUUAUUUUUUUGUGAAAUUUAUAAGUUUAGUUGUGUCAUAUUUAUAGCUGUUUUCACCUAUGUUACACAAUAGUAAUAGUUUAAUCAACAUCUUUUAAGUAAUUAAUAGACAUUAGAAAAACUGUUAUUUUUUAAAUAAUAGUAUUCGUUUUCAAAUAUUCAUAUAAGUGUAAUGGUAAUUAUUAUUAUUCAUUAAUUGUUAAGCGUAGAUAAAAACAGUAUUUUCAUUACUGUAUAUUUAAUUUUUUGUAUAGAGAGAGUGAAAUAGAGUAUGAAAUCCAACUUGAGAUCAUUAUCGAUAAAAUAUAUUAGUUAUCAAUGUUAUAAGUUUUAUUUUUAGUAGUAUAUUUUUAUACUAACAGUAUCAAAUGUAAGAACACAAACUCGACUUUGAAAUGGUUUUAUAUAUGCCUGGUCAUUUAGCAAAUUUUCGUGUCGACGCCCGUGGUUGUUGGUGCAUAUUAAUAAGUAUUAAAGAGAAUUUUUGAUAGCCAAUUUUUUAUCACCAAGCGAGUUUUCUUCUAAUUUUUACCCAUAUUUACAUGCUACUAGAAAAACUUUUUGUGUAAAUAAUUAGCUUUGAAAUUUUUUCCAGCAUAACCAGUUUUCAUUUCAGAGUUCUUUCAAGAUGAAUUAUAGAGACGAUAAACUGUACAUUGAGAAUUUUUAUAGGAUAGUAAAUAUAUCCUGUAUAGUAAGACACCUUUUCUCAAUGUACACUUUCUCUUAAUCCACUCAAAGUAGUAUGAAAGUGUUAUUGAAAAAAGUUCAUAGUUUAUAUAAAAUUGAUCUCUUUUGUUGUGGUUAAUAACAUUGCAAAAAAUUUAUGUCCAAUACAUUCAUGCGUAGAUAACAUAUAUAUUUUUAUAAAGUGUAAAUAAUAUAAAGUUUCAAUGAAAAACUAACACUGAUUUGAAAACAAACGUCUUAUUAUUUUUCAAUAAUAUAUAUUUCAAAGAAAAUACAACAGUUUAUCCAGGAAUAUAUCCUCUUUUAUAAUCACACCAGCAUUUAAAACCACGACAUUCCAACAUAUACCUAUCUUUUCUCAUACAAUGACGUGCACAUUCUUGACAAAAACCAAUUUCGUUUGUAGCAGCAUGGUUUCCAUGAAUUUCAUAAUCGGGAAGUUGAUUUGGGCUUGCUGCUGGAUUGGACAUAUGAGUUUUAUCGCCAGAAAUAGAUUUUGUCAUAAUAUUUGACGCACCUAUAAAAUUUUUUAACAAAUGUUAGUUAUAGUUAUUAUAUUUUAAUAAAGGUUUUUGAUAUUUUAUAUAUCAUCUUUUCUAGCAAAACUAGACAUACAUGAUAAAACAAGAAUUAAAAGAGUGAAAAACAAAACAUUUAUCUUCAUUCCUGUUUUGGAAGUUCAACAACAGCUGUAAAAAGUGAGUUUUGGUUGAUGUUUUAAGUUUAUUUUUUUGUGAAAUUUAUAAGUUUAGUUGUGUCAUAUUUAUAGCUGUUUUCACCUAUGUUACACAAUAGUAAUAGUUUAAUCAACAUCUUUUAAGUAAUUAAUAGACAUUAGCAAAACUGUUCUUUUUUUUAAAUAAUAGGAUUCGUUUUCAAAUAUUCAUAUAAGUGUAAUGGUAAUUAUUAUUAGUCAUUAAUUGUUAAGCGUAGAUAAAAACAGUAUUUUCAUUAUUGUAUAUUUAAUUUUUUAUAUAGAGAGAGUGAAAUAAAGUAUGAAAUCCAACUUGAGAUCAUUAUCGAUAAAAUAUAUUAGUUAUCAAUGUUAUAAGUUUUAUUUUUAGUAGUAUAUUUUUAUACUAACAGUAUCAAAUGUAAGAACACAAACUCGACUUUGAAAUGGUUUUAUAUAUGCCUGGUGAUUUAGCAAAUUUUCGUGUCGACGCACGUAGUUGUUGGUGCAUAUUAAUAAGUAUUAAAGAGAAUUUUUGAUAGCCAAUUUUUUAUCACCAAGCGAGUUUUCUCCGAAUUUUAACCCAUAUUUACAUGGUACUAGAACAAAUUUUUGUGUAAAUAAUUAGUUUGAAUUUUUUUCCAGCAUAACCAGUUUUCAUUUCAGAGUUCUUUCAAGAUAAAUUAUAGAGAAGAGAAACUGUACAUUGAGAAUUUUUAUAGGAUAGUAAAUAUAUCCUGUAUAGUAAUACACUUUUUCUCAAUGUACACUUUCUCUUAAUCCACUCAAAGUAGUAUGAAAGUGUUAUAGAAAAAAGUUCAUAGUUUAUAUAAAAUUGAUCUCUUUUUGUUGUGGUUAAUAACAUUGCACAAAAUUUAUGUCCAAUACAUUCAUGCGUAGAUAACAUAUAUAUUUUUAUAAAGUGUAAAUAAUAUAAAGUUUCAAUGAAAAACUAACACUGAUUUGAAAACAAACGUCUUAUUAUUUUUCAAUAAUAUAUAUUUCAAAGAAAAUACAACAGUUUAUCCAGGAAUAUAUCCUCUUUUAUAAUCACACCAGCAUUUAAAACCACGACAUUCCAACAUAUACCUAUCUUUUCUCAUACAAUGACGUGCACAUUCUUGACAAAAACCAAUUUCGUUCGUAGCAGCAUGGUUUCCAUGAAUUUCAUAAUCGGGAAGUUGAUUUGGGCUUGCUGCUGGAUUGGACAUAUGAGUUUUAUCGCCAGAAAUAGAUUUUGUCAUAAUAUUUGACGCACCUAUAAAAUUUUUCAAACAAAUGUUAGUUUUAGUUAUUAUAUUUUAAUAAAGGUUUUUGAUAUUUUAUAUAUCAUCUUUUCUAGCAAAACUAGACUUACAUGAUAAAACAAGAAUUAAAAGAGUGAAAAACAAAACAUUUAUCUUCAUUCUUGUUUUGGAAGUUCAACGACAGCUGUAAAAAGUGAGUUUUGGUUGAUGUUUUAAGUUUAUUCUUUGUGAAAUUUAUAAGUUUAGUUGUUUCAUAUUUAUAGCUGUUUUCAGCUAUGUUACACAAUAGUAAUAGUUUAAUCAACAUCUUUUAAGUAAUUAAUAGACAUUAGAAAAACUGUUCUUUUUUUAAAUAAUAGUAUUCGUUUUCAAAUAUUCAUAUAAGUGUAAUGGUAAUUAUUAUUAGUCAUUAAUUGUUUAGCGUAGAUAAAAACAGUAUUUUCAUUAAUGUAUAUUUAAUUUUUGAUAUAGAGAGAGUGAAAUAGAGUAUGAAAUCCAACUUUAGAUCAUUAUCGAUAAAAUAUAUUAGUUAUCAAUGUUAUAAGUUUUAUUUUUAGUAGUAUAUUUUUAUACUAACAAUAUCAAAUGUAAGAACACAAACUCGACUUUGAAAUGGUUUUAUAUAUGCCUGGUCAUUUAGCAGAAUUUUCGUGUCGACGCCCGUAGUUGUUGGUGCAUAUUAAUAAGUAUUAAAGAGAAUUUUCGAUAGCCAAUUUUUUAUCACCAAGCGAGUUUUCUCCGAAUUUUUACCCAUAUUUACAUGGUAUUAGAACAAAUUUUUGUGUAAAUAAUUAGCUUUGAAAUUUUUUCCAGCAUAACCAGUUUUCAUUUCAGAGUUCUUUCAAGAUGAAUUAUAGAGAAGAGAAACUGUACAUUGAGAAUUUUUAUAGGAUAGUAAAUAUAUCUUGUAUAGUAAGACACUUUUUUCUCAAUGUACACUUUCUCUUAAUCCACUCAAAGUAGUAUGAAAGUGUUAUUGAAAAAAGUUCAUAGUUUAUAUAAAAUUGAUCUCUUUUUGUUGUGGUUAAUAACAUUGCACAGAAUUUAUAUCCAAUACAUUCAUGCGUAGAUAACAUAUAUAUUUUUAUAAAGUGUAAAUAAUAUAAAGUUUCAAUGAAAAACUAACACUGAUUUGAAAACAAACGUCUUAUUAUUUUUCAAUAAUAUAUAUUUCAAAGAAAAUACAACAGUUUAUCCAGGAAUAUAUCCUCUUUUAUAAUCACACCAGAAAUUAAAACCACGACAUUCCAACAUAUACCUAUCCUUUCUCAUACAAUGACUUGCACAUUCUUGACAAAAACCAAUUUCGUUCGUAGCAGCAUGGUUUCCAUGAAUUUCAUAAUCGGGAAGUUGAUUUGGGCUUGCUGCUGGAUUGGAGAUAUGAGUUUUAUCGCCAGAAAUAGAUUUUGUCAUAAUAUUUGACGCACCUAUAAAACUUUUCAAACAAAUGUUAGUUAUAGUUAUUAUAUUUUAAUAAAGGUUUUUGAUAUUUUAUAUAUCAUCUUUUCUAGCAUAACUAGGCUUACAUGAUAAAACAAGAAUUAAAAGAGUGAAAAACAAAACAUUUAUCUUCAUUCCUGUUUUGGAAGUUCAACAACAGCUGUAAAAAGUGAGUUUUGGUUGAUGUUUUAAGUUUAUUUUUUGUGAAAUUUAUAAGUUUAGUUGUUUCAUAUUUAUAGCUGUUUUCAGCUAUGUUACACAAUAGUAGUAAUUUAAUCAACAUCUUUUAAGUAAUUAAUAGACAUUAGAAAAACUGUUCUUUUUUUAAAUAAUAGUAUUCGUUUUCAAAUAUUCAUAUAAGUGUAAUGGUAAUUAUUAUUAGUCAUUAAUUGUUAAGCGUAGAUAAAAACAGUAUUUUCAUUACUGUAUAUUUAAUUUUUGAUAUAGAGAGAGUGAAAUAGAGUAUGAAAUCCAACUUUAGAUCAUUAUCGAUAAAAUAUAUUAGUUAUCAAUGUUAUAAUUUUUAUUUUUAGUAGUAUAUUUUUAUACUAACAGUAUCAAAUGUAAGAACACUAACUCGACUUUGAAAUGGUUUUAUAUUUGCCUGGUGAUUUAGCAAAUUUUCAUAUCGACGCCCGUAGUUGGUGGUGCAUAUUAAUAAGUAUUAAAGAGAAUUUUCGAUAGCCAAUUUUUUAUCCCCAAGCGAGUUUUCUCCGAAUUUCUACCCAUAUUUACAUGGUAUUAGAACAAAUUUUUGUGUAAAUAAUUAGCUUUGAAAUUUUUUCUAGCAUAACCAAUUUUCAUUUCAGAUUUCUUUCAAGAUGAAUUAUAGAGAAGAGAAACUGUACAUUAAGAAUUUUUAUAGGAUAGUAAAUAUAUCCUGUAUAGUAAGACACUUUUUCUCAAUGUACACAUUCUCUUAAUCCACUCAAAGUAGUAUGAAAGUGUUAUUGAAAAAAGUUCAUAGUUUAUAUAAAACUGAUUACUUUUUGUUGUGGUUAAUAACAUUGCACAAAAUUUAUGUCCAAUACAUUCAUGCGUGGAUAACAUAUAUAUUUUUAAAAAGUGUAAAUAAUAUAAAGUUUGAAUGAAAAACUAACACUGAUUAGAAAACAAACGUCUUAUUAUUUUUCAAUAAUAUAUAUUUCAAAGAAAAUACAACAGUUUAUCCAGAAAUAUAUCCUCUUUUAUAAUCACACCAGCAUUUAAAACCACGACAUUCCAACAUAUACCUAUCCUUUCUCAUACAAUGACGUGCACAUUCUUGACAAAAACCAAUUUCGUUCGUAGCAGCAUGGUUUCCAUGAAUUUCAUAAUCGGGAAGUUGAUUUGGGUUUGCUGCUGGAUUGGAGAUAUGAGUUUUAUCGCCAGAAAUAGAUUUUAUCAUAAUAUUUGACGCACCUAUAAAAAUUUUCAAACAAAUGUUAGUUAUAGUUAUUAUAUUUUAAUAAAGGUUUUUGAUAUUUUAUAUAUCAUCUUUUCUAGCAUAACUAGGCUUACAUGAUAAAACAAGAAUUAAAAGAGUGAAAAACAAAACAUUUAUCUUCAUUCCUGUUUUGGAAGUUCAACAACAGCCGUAAAAAGUGAGUUUUGGUUGAUGUUUUAAGUUUAUUUUUUGUGAAAUUUAUAAGUUUAGUUGUUUCAUAUUUAUAGCUGUUUUCAGCUAUGUUACACAAUAGUAAUAGUUUAAUCAACAUCUUUUAAGUAAUUAAUAGACAUUAGAAAACCUGUUCUUUUUUUUAAAUAAUAGUAUUCGUUUUCAAAUAUUCAUAUAAGUGUAAUGGUAAUUAUUAUUAGUCAUUAAUUGUUAAGCGUAGAUAAAAACAGUAUUUUCAUUAUUGUAUAUUUAUUUUUUGAUAUAGAGAGAGUGAAAUAGAGUAUGAAAUUUAACUUUAGAUCAUUAUCGAUAAAAUAUAUUAGUUAUCAAUGUUAUAAGUUUUAUUUUUAGUAGUAUAUUUUUAUACUAACAGUAUCAAAUGUAAGAACACAAACUCAACUUUGAAAUGGUUUUAUAUAUGCCUGGUCAUUUAGCAAAUUUUCGUGUCGACGCCCGUAGUUGUUGGUGCAUAUUAAUAAGUAUUAAAGAGAAUUUUUGAUAGCCAAUUUUUUAUCACCAAGCGAGUUUUCUUCUAAUUUUUACCCAUAUUUACAUGCUACUAGAAAAAAUUUUGUGUAAAUAAUUAGCUUUGAAAUUUUUUCCAGCAUAACCAGUUUUCAUUUCAGAGUUCUUUCAAGAUGAAUUAUAGAGAAGAUAAACUGUACAUUGAGAGUUUUUAUAGGAUAGUAAAUAUAUCUUGUAUAGUAAGACACUUUUUCUCAAUGUACACUUUCUCUUAAUCCACUCAAAGUAGUAUGAAAGUGUUAUUGAAAAAAGUUCAUAGUUUCUAUAAAAUUGAUCUCUUUUUGUUGUGGUUAAUAACAUUGCACAAAAUUUAUGUCCAAUACAUUCAUGCGUAGAUAACAUAUAUAUUUUUNNNNNNNNNNNNNNNNNNNNNNNNNNNNNNNNNNNNNNNNNNNNNNNNNNNNNNNNNNNNNNNNNNNNNNNNNNNNNNNNNNNNNNNNNNNNNNNNNNNNAAAAAGUUCAUAGUUUCUAUAAAUUGAUCUCUUUUGUGUGGUUAUAACAUUGCACAAAAUUUAUGUCCAAUACAUUCAUGCGUAGAUAACAUAUAAAUUUUUAUAAAGUGUAAAUAAUAUAAAGUUUCAAUGAAAAACUAACACUGAUUUGAAAACAAACUUCUUAUUAUUUUUCAAUAAUAUAAAUUUCAAAGAAAAUACAACAGUUUAUCCAGGAAUAUAUCCUCUUUUAUAAUCACAACAGCAUUUAAAACCACGACAUUCCAACAUAUACCUAUCCUUUCUCAUACAAUGACGUGCACAUUCUUGACAAAAACCAAUUUCGUUCGUAGCAGCAUGGUUUCCAUGAAUUUCAUAAUCGAGAAGUUGAUUUGGGCUUGCUGCUGGAUUGGACAUCUGAGUUUUAUCGCCAGAAAUAGAUUUUGUCAUAAUAUUUGACGCACCUAUAAUUUUUUUCAAACAAAUGUUAGUUAUAGUUAUUAUAUUUUAAUAAAGGUUUUUGAUAUUUUAUAUAUCAUCUUUUCUAGCAAAACUAGACAUACAUGAUAAAACAAGAAUUAAAAGAGUGAAAAACAAAACAUUUAUCUUCAUUCCUGUUUUGGAAGUUCAACAACAGCUGUAAAAAGUGAGUUUUGGUUGAUGUUUUAAGUUUAUUUUUUUGUGAAAUUUAUAAGUUUAGUUGUGUCAUAUUUAUAGCUGUUUUCACCUAUGUUACACAAUAGUAAUAGUUUAAUCAAAAUCUUUUAAGUAAUUAAUAGACAUUAGAAAAACUGUUCUUUUCUUUAAAUAAUAGUAUUCGUUUUCAAAUAUUCAUAUAAGUGUAAUGGUAAUUAUUAUUAGUCAUUAAUAGUUAAGCGUAGAUAAAACAGUAUUUUCAUUACUGUAUAUUUAACUUUUGAUAUAGUGAGAGUGAAAUAGAGUAUGAAAUCCAACUUGAGAUCAUUAUCGAUAAAAUAUAUUAGUUAUCAAUGUUAUAAAUUUUAUUUUUAGUAGUAUAUUUUUAUACUAACAGUAUCAAAUGUAAGAGCACAAACUCGACUUUGAAAUGGUUUUAUAUAUGCCUGGUGAUUUAGCAAAUUUUCGUGUCGACGCACGUAGUUGUUGGUGCAUAUUAAUAAGUAUUAAAGAGAAUUUUUGAUAGCCAAUUUUUUAUCACCAAGCGAGUUUUCUCCGAAUUUUUACCCAUAUUUACAUGGUACUAGAACAAAUUUUUGUGUAAAUAAUUAGCUUUGAAAUUUUUUCCAGCAUAACCAGUUUUCAUUUCAGAGUUCUUUCAAGAUGAAUUAUAGAGAAGAGAAACUGUACAUUGAGAAUUUUUAUAGGAUAGUAAAUAUAUCCUGUAUAGUAAGACACUUUUUCUCAAUGUAGACUUUCUCUUAAUCCACUCAAAGUAGUAUGAAAGUGUUAUUGAAAAAAGUUCAUAGUUUAUAUAAAAUUGAUCUCUUUUUGUUGUGGUUAAUAACAUUGCACAAAACUUAUGUCCAAUACAUUCAUGCGUAGAUAACAUAUAUAUUUUUAUAAAGUGUAAAUAAUAUAAAGUUUCAAUGAAAAACUAACAUUGAUUUGAAAACAAACGUCUUAUUAUUUUUCAAUAAUAUAUAUUUCAAAGAAAAUACAACAGUUUAUCCAGGAAUAUAUCCUCUUUUAUAAUCACACCAGCAUUUAAAACCACGACAUUCCAACAUAUACCUAUCCUUUCUCAUACAAUGACGUGCACAUUCUUGACAAAAACCAAUUUCGUUCGUACCAGCAUGGUUUCCAUGAAUUUCAUAAUCGGGAAGUUGAUUUGGGCUUGCUGCUGGAUUGGACAUAUGAGUUUCAUCGCCAGAAAUAGAUUUUGUCAUAAUAUUUGACGCACCUAUAAAAUUUUUCAAACAAAUGUUAGUUAUAGUUAUAAUAUUUUAAUAAAGGUUUUUGAUAUUUUAUAUAUCAUUUUUUCUAGCAAAACUAGGCUUACAUGAUAAAACAAGAAUUAAAAGAGUGAAAAACAAAACAUUUAUCUUCAUUCCUGUUUUGGAAGUUCAACAACAGCUGUAAAAAGUGAGUUUUGGUUGAUGUUUUAAGUUUAUUUUUUGUGAAAUUUAUAAGUUUAGUUGUUUCAUAUUUAUAGCUGGUUUCAGCUAUGUUACACAAUAGUAAUAGUUUAAUCAACAUCUUUUAAGUAAUUAAUAGACAUUAGAAAAACUGUUCUUUUUUUUAAAUAAUAGUAUUCGUUUUCAAAUAUUCAUAUAAGUAUAAUGGUAAUUAUUAUUAGUCAUUAAUUGUUAAGCGUAGAUAAAAACAGUAUUUUCAUUACUGUAUAUUUAACUUUUGAUAUAGUGAGAGUGAAAUAGAGUAUGAAAUCCAACUUUAGAUCAUUAUCGAUAAAAUAUAUUAGUUAUCAAUGUUAUAAGUUUUAUUUUUAGUAGUAUAUUUUUAUACUUACAGUAUCAAAUGUAAGGACACAAACUCGACUUUGAAAUGGUUUUAUAUAUGCCUGGUGAUUUAGCAAAUUUUCGUGUCGACGCACGUAGUUGUUGGUGCAUAUUAAUAAGUAUUAAAGUGAAUUUUUGAUAGCCAAUUUUUUAUCACCAAGCGAGUUUUUUCCGAAUGUUUACCCAUAUUUACAUGGUACUAGAACAAAUUUUUGUGUAAAUAAUUAGCUUUGAANNNNNNNNNNNNNNNNNNNNNNNNNNNNNNNNNNNNNNNNNNNNNNNNNNNNNNNNNNNNNNNNNNNNNNNNNNNNNNNNNNNNNNNNNNNNNNNNNNNNAUAGAAAAAAGUUCAUAGUUUAUUAUAAAAUUGAUCUCUUUUGUUGUGGUUAAUAACAUGCACAAAAUUUAUGUCCAAUACAUUCAUGCGUAGAUAACACAUAUAUUUUUAUAAAGUGUAAAUAAUAUAAAGUUUCAAUGAAAAACUAACACUGAUUUGAAAACAAACGUCUUAUUAUUUUUCAAUAAUAUAUAUUUCAAAGAAAAUACAACAGUUUAUCCAGGAAUAUAUCCUCUUUUAUAAUCACACCAGCAUUUAAAACCACGACAUUCCAACAUAUACCUAUCCUUUCUCAUACAAUGACGUGCACAUUCUUGACAAAAACCAAUUUCGUUCGUAGCAGCAUGGUUUCCAUGAAUUUCAUAAUCGGGAAGUUGAUUUGGGCUUGCUGCUGGAUUGGACGUAUGAGUUUUAUCGCCAGAAAUAGAUUUUGUCAUAUUAUUUGACGCACCUAUAAAAUUUUUCAAACAAAUGUUAGUUAUAGUUAUUAUAUUUUAAUAAAGGUUUUUGAUAUUUUAUAUAUCAUCUUUUCUAGCAAAACUAGACAUACAUGAUAAAACAAGAAUUAAAAGAGUGAAAAACAAAACAUUUAUCUUCAUUCCUGUUUUGGAAGUUCAACAACAGCUGUAAAAAGUGAGUUUUGGUUGAUGUUUUAAGUUUAUUUUUUUGUGAAAUUUAUAAGUUUAGUUGUGUCAUAUUUAUAGCUGUUUUCACUUAUGUUACACAAUAGUAAUAGUUUAAUCAACAUCUUUUAAGUAAUUAAUAGACAUUAGAAAAACUGUUCUUUUUUUUAAAUAAUAGUAUUCGUUUUCAAAUAUUCAUAUAAGUGUAAUGGUAAUUAUUAUUAGUCAUUAAUGUUAAGCGUAGAUAAAAACAGUAUUUUNNNNNNNNNNNNNNNNNNNNNNNNNNNNNNNNNNNNNNNNNNNNNNNNNNNNNNNNNNNNNNNNNNNNNNNNNNNNNNNNNNNNNNNNNNNNNNNNNNNNACCAGUUUUCAUUUCAGAGUUCUUUCAAGAUGAAUAUAGAGAAGAGAAACUGUACAUGAGAAUUUUUAUAGAAUAGUAAAUAUAUCCUGUAUAGUAAGACACUUUUUCUCAAUGUAUACAUUCUCUUAAUCCACUCAAAGUAGUAUGAAAGUGUUAGUGAAAAAAGUUCAUAGUUUAUGUAAAAUUGAUCUCUUUUGUUGUGGUUAAUAACAUUGCACAAAAUUUAUUUCCAAUACAUUCAUGCGUAGAUAACAUAUAUAUUUUUAUAAAGUGUAAAUAAUAUAAAGUUUCAAUGAAAAACUAACAUUGAUUUGAAAACAAACGUCUUAUUAUUUUUCAAUAAUAUAUAUUUCAAAGAAAAUACAACAGUUUAUCCAGGAAUAUAUCCUCUUUUAUAAUCACACCAGCAUUUAAAACCACGACAUUCCAACAUAUACCUAUCCUUUCUCAUACAAUGACGUGCACAUUCUUGACAAAAACCAAUUUCGUUCGUACCAGCAUGGUUUCCAUGAAUUUCAUAAUCGGGAAGUUGAUUUGGGCUUGCUGCUGGAUUGGACAUAUGAGUUUCAUCGCCAGAAAUAGAUUUUGUCAUAAUAUUUGACGCACCUAUAAAAUUUUUCAAACAAAUGUUAGUUAUAGUUAUAAUAUUUUAAUAAAGGUUUUUGAUAUUUUAUAUAUCAUUUUUUCUAGCAAAACUAGGCUUACAUGAUAAAACAAGAAUUAAAAGAGUGAAAAACAAAACAUUUAUCUUCAUUCCUGUUUUGGAAGUUCAACAACAGCUGUAAAAAGUGAGUUUUGGUUGAUGUUUUAAGUUUAUUUUUUGUGAAAUUUAUAAGUUUAGUUGUUUCAUAUUUAUAGCUGGUUUCAGCUAUGUUACACAAUAGUAAUAGUUUAAUCAACAUCUUUUAAGUAAUUAAUAGACAUUAGAAAAACUGUUCUUUUUUUUAAAUAAUAGUAUUCGUUUUCAAAUAUUCAUAUAAGUAUAAUGGUAAUUAUUAUUAGUCAUUAAUUGUUAAGCGUAGAUAAAAACAGUAUUUUCAUUACUGUAUAUUUAACUUUUGAUAUAGUGAGAGUGAAAUAGAGUAUGAAAUCCAACUUUAGAUCAUUAUCGAUAAAAUAUAUUAGUUAUCAAUGUUAUAAGUUUUAUUUUUAGUAGUAUAUUUUUAUACUUACAGUAUCAAAUGUAAGGACACAAACUCGACUUUGAAAUGGUUUUAUAUAUGCCUGGUGNNNNNNNNNNNNNNNNNNNNNNNNNNNNNNNNNNNNNNNNNNNNNNNNNNNNNNNNNNNNNNNNNNNNNNNNNNNNNNNNNNNNNNNNNNNNNNNNNNNNGUCGAUGCCCGUAGUUGUUGGUGCAUAUUAAUAAGUAUUAAAGAGAAUUUUGAUAGCCAAUUUUUAUCACCAAGCGAGUUUUCUCCUAAUUUUUACCCAUAUUUACAUGCUACUAGAAAAAAAUUUUGUGUAAAUAAUUAGCUUUGAAAUUUUUUCCAGCAUAACCAGUUUUCAUUUCAGAGUUCUUUCAAGAUGAAUUAUAGAGAAUAUAAACUGUACAUUGAGAAUUUUUAUAGGAUAGUAAAUAUAUCUUGUAUAGUAAGACACCUUUUCUCAAUGUACACUUUCUCUUAAUCCACUCAAAGUAGUAUGAAAGUGUUAUUGAAAAAAGUUCAUAGUUUAUAUAAAAUUGAUCUCUUUUUUUUGUGGUUAAUAACAUUGCACAAAAUUUAUGUCCAAUACAUUCAUGCGUAGAUAACAUAUAUAUUUUUAUAAAGUGUAAAUAAUAUAAAGUUUUUUAUGAAAAACUAACACUGAUUUGAAAACAAACGUCUUAUUAUUUUUCAAUAAUAUAUAUUUCAAAGAAAAUACAACAGUUUAUCCAGGAACAUAUCCUCUUUUAUAAUCACACCAGCAUUCAAAACCACGACAUUCCAACAUAUACCUAUCCUUUCUCAUACAAUGACGUGCACAUUCUUGACAAAAACCAAUUUCGUUCGUAGCAGCAUGGUUUCCAUGAAUUUCAUAAUCGGGAAGUUGAUUUGGGCUUGCUGCUGGAUUGGAGAUAUGAGUUUUAUCGCCAGAAAUAGAUUUUGUCAUAAUAUUUGACGCACCUAUAAAACUUUUCAAACAAAUGUUAGUUAUAGUUAUUAUAUUUUAAUAAAGGUUUUUGAUAUUUUAUAUAUCAUCUUUACUAGCAUAACUAGGCUUACAUGAUAAAACAAGAAUUAAAAGAGUGAAAAACAAAACAUUUAUCUUCAUUCCUGUUUUGGAAGUUCAACAACAGCUGUAAACAGUGAGUUUUGGUUGAUGUUUUAAGUUUAUUUUUUUGUGAAAUUUAUAAGUUUAGUUGUGUCAUAUUUAUAGCUGUUUUCACCUAUGUUACACAAUAGUAAUAGUUUAAUCAACAUCUUUUAAGUAAUUAAUAGACAUUAGCAAAACUGUUCUUUUUUUAAAUAAUAGUAUUCGUUUUCAAAUAUUCAUAUAAGUGUAAUGGUAAUUAUUAUUAGUCAUUAAUUGUUAAACGUAGAUAAAAACAGUAUUUUCAUUACUGUAUAUUUAAUUUUUUGUAUAGAGAGAGUGAAAUAGAGUAUGAAAUCCAACUUGAGAUAAUUAUCGAUAAAAUAUAUUAGUUAUCAAUGUUAUAAGUUUUAUUUUUAGUAGUAUAUUUUUAUACUAAUAGUAUCAAAUGUAAGAACACAAACUCGACUUUGAAAUGGUUUUAUAUAUGCCUGGUCAUUUAGCAAAUUUUCGUGUCGAUGCCCGUAGUUGUUGGUGCAUAUUAAUAAGUAUUAAAGAGAAUUUUUGAUAGCCAAUUUUUUAUCACCAAGCGAGUUUUCUCCUAAUUUUUACCCAUAUUUACAUGCUACUAGAAAAAAAUUUUGUGUAAAUAAUUAGCUUUGAAAUUUUUUCCAGCAUAACCAGUUUUCAUUUCAGAGUUCUUUCAAGAUGAAUUAUAGAGAAUAUAAACUGUACAUUGAGAAUUUUUAUAGGAUAGUAAAUAUAUCUUGUAUAGUAAGACACCUUUUCUCAAUGUACACUUUCUCUUAAUCCACUUAAAGUAGUAUGAAAGUGUUAUUGAAAAAAGUUCAUAGUUUCUAUAAAAUUGAUCUCUUUUUGUUGUGGUUAAUAACAUUGCACAAAAUUUAUGUCCAAUACAUUCAUGCGUAGAUAACAUAUAUAUUUUUAUAAAGUGUAAAUAAUAUAAAGUUUUUUAUGAAAAACUAACACUGAUUUGAAAACAAACGUCUUAUUAUUUUUCAAUAAUAUAUAUUUCAAAGAAAAUACAACAGUUUAUCCAGGAACAUAUCCUCUUUUAUAAUCACACCAGCAUUCAAAACCACGACAUUCCAACAUAUACCUAUCCUUUCUCAUACAAUGACGUGCACAUUCUUGACAAAAACCAAUUUCGUUCGUAGCAGCAUGGUUUCCAUGAAUUUCAUAAUCGGGAAGUUGAUUUGGGCUUGCUGCUGGAUUGGAGAUAUGAGUUUUAUCGCCAGAAAUAGAUUUUGUCAUAAUAUUUGACGCACCUAUAAAACUUUUCAAACAAAUGUUAGUUAUAGUUAUUAUAUUUUAAUAAAGGUUUUUGAUAUUUUAUAUAUCAUCUUUACUAGCAUAACUAGGCUUACAUGAUAAAACAAGAAUUAAAAGAGUGAAAAACAAAACAUUUAUCUUCAUUCCUGUUUUGGAAGUUCAACAACAGCUGUAAACAGUGAGUUUUGGUUGAUGUUUUAAGUUUAUUUUUUUGUGAAAUUUAUAAGUUUAGUUGUGUCAUAUUUAUAGCUGUUUUCACCUAUGUUACACAAUAGUAAUAGUUUAAUCAACAUCUUUUAAGUAAUUAAUAGACAUUAGAAAAACUGUUCUUUUCUUUAAAUAAUAGUAUUCGUUUUCAAAUAUUCAUAUAAGUGUAAUGGUAAUUAUUAUUAGUCAUUAAUUGUUAAGUGUAGAUAAAAACAGUAUUUUCAUUAUUGUAUAUUUAAUUUUUUUAUAUAGAGAGAGUGAAAUAGAGUAUGAAAUCCAACUUGAGAUCAUUAUCGAUAAAAUAUAUUAGUUAUCAAUGUUAUAAGUUUUAUUUUUAGUAGUAUAUUUUUAUACUAAUAGUAUCAAAUGUAAGAACACAAACUCGACUUUGAAAUGGUUUUAUAUAUGCCUGGUCAUUUAGCAAAUUUUCGUGUCGAUGCCCGUAGUUGUUGGUGCAUAUUAAUAAGUAUUAAAGAGAAUUUUUGAUAGCCAAUUUUUUAUCACCAAGCGAGUUUUCUCCUAAUUUUUACCCAUAUUUACAUGCUACUAGAAAAAAAUUUUGUGUAAAUAAUUAGCUUUGAAAUUUUUCCAGCAUAACCAGUUUUCAUUUCAGAGUUCUUUCAAGAUGAAUUAUAGAGAAUAUAAACUGUACAUUGAGAAUUUUUAUAGGAUAGUAAAUAUAUCUUGUAUAGUAAGACACCUUUUCUCAAUGUACACUUUCUCUUAAUCCACUUAAAGUAGUAUGAAAGUGUUAUUGAAAAAAGUUCAUAGUUUCUAUAAAAUUGAUCUCUUUUUGUUGUGGUUAAUAACAUUGCACAAAAUUUAUGUCCAAUACAUUCAUGCGUAGAUAACAUAUAUAUUUUUAUAAAGUGUAAAUAAUAUAAAGUUUUUUAUGAAAAACUAACACUGAUUUGAAAACAAACGUCUUAUUAUUUUUCAAUAAUAUAUAUUUCAAAGAAAAUACAACGGUUUAUCCAGGAACAUAUCCUCUUUUAUAAUCACACCAGCAUUCAAAACCACGACAUUCCAACAUAUACCUAUCCUUUCUCAUACAAUGACGUGCACAUUCUUGACAAAAACCAAUUUCGUUCGUAGCAGCAUGGUUUCCAUGAAUUUCAUAAUCGGGAAGUUGAUUUGGGCUUGCUGCUGGAUUGGAGAUAUGAGUUUUAUCGCCAGAAAUAGAUUUUGUCAUAAUAUUUGACGCACCUAUAAAACUUUUCAAACAAAUGUUAGUUAUAGUUAUUAUAUUUUAAUAAAGGUUUUUGAUAUUUUAUAUAUCAUCUUUACUAGCAUAACUAGGCUUACAUGAUAAAACAAGAAUUAAAAGAGUGAAAAACAAAACAUUUAUCUUCAUUCCUGUUUUGGAAGUUCAACAACAGCUGUAAACAGUGAGUUUUGGUUGAUGUUUUAAGUUUAUUUUUUUGUGAAAUUUAUAAGUUUAGUUGUGUCAUAUUUAUAGCUGUUUUCACCUAUGUUACACAAUAGUAAUAGUUUAAUCAACAUCUUUUAAGUAAUUAAUAGACAUUAGCAAAACUGUUCUUUUUUUAAAUAAUAGUAUUCGUUUUCAAAUAUUCAUAUAAGUGUAAUGGUAAUUAUUAUUAGUCAUUAAUUGUUAAACGUAGAUAAAAACAGUAUUUUCAUUACUGUAUAUUUAAUUUUUUGUAUAGAGAGAGUGAAAUAGAGUAUGAAAUCCAACUUGAGAUAAUUAUCGAUAAAAUAUAUUAGUUAUCAAUGUUAUAAGUUUUAUUUUUAGUAGUAUAUUUUUAUACUAAUAGUAUCAAAUGUAAGAACACAAACUCGACUUUGAAAUGGUUUUAUAUAUGCCUGGUCAUUUAGCAAAUUUUCGUGUCGAUGCCCGUAGUUGUUGGUGCAUAUUAAUAAGUAUUAAAGAGAAUUUUUGAUAGCCAAUUUUUUAUCACCAAGCGAGUUUUCUCCUAAUUUUUACCCAUAUUUACAUGCUACUAGAAAAAAAUUUUGUGUAAAUAAUUAGCUUUGAAAUUUUUUCCAGCAUAACCAGUUUUCAUUUCAGAGUUCUUUCAAGAUGAAUUAUAGAGAAUAUAAACUGUACAUUGAGAAUUUUUAUAGGAUAGUAAAUAUAUCUUGUAUAGUAAGACACCUUUUCUCAAUGUACACUUUCUCUUAAUCCACUUAAAGUAGUAUGAAAGUGUUAUUGAAAAAAGUUCAUAGUUUCUAUAAAAUUGAUCUCUUUUUGUUGUGGUUAAUAACAUUGCACAAAAUUUAUGUCCAAUACAUUCAUGCGUAGAUAACAUAUAUAUUUUUAUAAAGUGUAAAUAAUAUAAAGUUUUUUAUGAAAAACUAACACUGAUUUGAAAACAAACGUCUUAUUAUUUUUCAAUAAUAUAUAUUGCAAAGAAAAUACAACAGUUUAUCCAGGAACAUAUCCUCUUUUAUAAUCACACCAGCAUUCAAAACCACGACAUUCCAACAUAUACCUAUCCUUUCUCAUACAAUGACGUGCACAUUCUUGACAAAAACCAAUUUCGUUCGUAGCAGCAUGGUUUCCAUGAAUUUCAUAAUCGGGAAGUUGAUUUGGGCUUGCUGCUGGAUUGGACAUAUGAGUUUUAUCGCCAGAAAUAGAUUUUGUCAUAAUAUUUGACGCACCUAUAAAACUUUUCAAACAAAUGUUAGUUAUAGUUAUUAUAUUUUAAUAAAGGUUUUUGAUAUUUUAUAUAUCAUCUUUACUAGCAUAACUAGGCUUACAUGAUAAAACAAGAAUUAAAAGAGUGAAAAACAAAACAUUUAUCUUCAUUCCUGUUUUGGAAGUUCAACAACAGCUGUAAACAGUGAGUUUUGGUUGAUGUUUUAAGUUUAUUUUUUUGUGAAAUUUAUAAGUUUAGUUGUGUCAUAUUUAUAGCUGUUUUCACCUAUGUUACACAAUAGUAAUAGUUUAAUCAACAUCUUUUAAGUAAUUAAUAGACAUUAGAAAAACUGUUCUUUUCUUUAAAUAAUAGUAUUUGUUUUCAAAUAUUCAUAUAAGUGUAAUGGUAAUUAUUAUUAAUCAUUAAUUGUUAAGCGUAGAUAAAAACAGUAUUUUCAUUAUUGUAUAUUUAAUUUUUUUAUAUAGAGAGAGUGAAAUAGAGUAUGAAAUCCAACUUGAGAUCAUUAUCGAUAAAAUAUAUUAGUUAUCAAUCUUAUAAGUUUUAUUUUUAGUAGUAUAUUUUUCUACUAACAGUAUCAAAUGUAAGAACACAAACUCGACUUUGAAAUGGUUUUAUAUAUGCCUGGUGAUUUAGCAAAUUUUCGUGUCGACGCACGUAGUUGUUGGUGCAUAUUAAUAUGUAUUAAAGAAAUUUUUGAUAGCCAUUUUUUUAUCACCAAGCGAGUUUUCUCCGAAUUUUUACCCAUAUUUACAUGGUACUAGAACAAAUUUUUGGGUAAAUAAUUAGCUUUGAAAUUUUUUCCAGCGUAACCAUUUUUUAUUUCAGAGUUCUUUCAAGAUGAAUUAUAGAGAAGAGAAACUGUACAUUGAGAAUUUUUAAUGGAUAGUAAAUAUAUCCUGUAUAGUAAUACACUUUUUCUCAAUGUACACAUUCUCUUAAUCCACUCAAAGUAGUAUGAAAGUGUUAUUGAAAAAAGUUCAUAGUUUAUAUAAAAUUGAUCUCUUUUUGUUGUGGUUAAUAGCAUUGCACAAAAUUUAUGUCCAAUACAUUCAUGCGUAGAUAACAUAUAUAUUUUUAUAAAGUGUAAAUAAUAUAUAGUUUCAAUGAAAAACUAACAUUGAUUUGAAAACAACGUCUUAUUAUUUUUCAAUAAUAAAUAUUUCAAAGAAAAUACAACAGUUUAUCCUGGAAUAUAUCUUCUUUUAUAAUCACACCAGUAUUUAAAACAACGACAUUCCAACAUAUACCUAUCCUUUCUCAUACAAUGACGUGCACAUUCUUGACAAAAACCAAUUUCGUUCGUAGCAGCAUGGUUUCCAUGAAUUUCAUAAUCGGGAAGUUGAUUUGGGGUUGCUGCUGGAUUGGACAUAUGAGUUUCAUCGCCAAAAAUAGAUUUUGUCAUAAUAUUUGACGCACCUAUAAAAUUUUUCAAACAAAUGUUAGUUAUAGUUAUAAUAUUUUAAUAAAGGCUUUUGAUAUUUUAUAUAUCAUCUUUUCUAGCAAAACUAGGCUUACAUGAUAAAACAAGAAUAAAAAGAGUGAAAAACAAAACAUUUAUCUUCAUUCCUGUUUUGGAAGUUCAACAACAACUGUAAACAGUGAGUUUUGGUUGAUGUUUUAAGUUUAUUUUUUUGUGAAAUUUAUAAGUUUAGUUGUGUCAUAUUUAUAGCUGUUUUCACCUAUGUUACACAAUAGUAAUAGUUUAAUCAACAUCUUUUAAGUAAUUAAUAGACAUUAGCAAAACUGUUCUUUUUUUAAAUAAUAGUAUUCGUUUUCAAAUAUUCAUAUAAGUGUAAUGGUAAUUAUUAUUAGUCAUUAAUUGUUAAACGUAGAUAAAAACAGUAUUUUCAUUACUGUAUAUUUAAUUUUUUGUAUAGAGAGAGUGAAAUAGAGUAUGAAAUCCAACUUGAGAUAAUUAUCGAUAAAAUAUAUUAGUUAUCAAUGUUAUAAGUUUUAUUUUUAGUAGUAUAUUUUUAUACUAAUAGUAUCAAAUGUAAGAACACAAACUCGACUUUGAAAUGGUUUUAUAUAUGCCUGGUCAUUUAGCAAAUUUUCGUGUCUAUGCCCGUAGUUGUUGGUGCAUAUUAAUAAGUAUUAAAGAGAAUUUUUGAUAGCCAAUUUUUUAUCACCAAGCGAGUUUUCUCCUAAUUUUUACCCAUAUUUACAUGCUACUAGAAAAAAAUUUUGUGUAAAUAAUUAGCUUUGAAAUUUUUUCCAGCAUAACCAGUUUUCAUUUCAGAGUUCUUUCAAGAUGAAUUAUAGAGAAUAUAAACUGUACAUUGAGAAUUUUUAUAGGAUAGUAAAUAUAUCUUGUAUAGUAAGACACCUUUUCUCAAUGUACACUUUCUCUUAAUCCACUUAAAGUAGUAUGAAAGUGUUAUUGAAAAAAGUUCAUAGUUUCUAUAAAAUUGAUCUCUUUUUGUUGUGGUUAAUAACAUUGCACAAAAUUUAUGUCCAAUACAUUCAUGCGUAGAUAACACAUAUAUUUUUAUAAAGUGUAAAUAAUAUAAAGUUUCAAUGAAAAACUAACACUGAUUUGAAAACAAACGUCUUAUUAUUUUUCAAUAAUAUAUAUUUCAAAGAAAAUACAACAGUUUAUCCUGGAAUAUAUCCUCUUUUAUAAUCACACCAGCAUUUAAAACCACGACAUUCCAACAUAUACCUAUCCUUUCAAAUACAAUGACGUGCACAUUCUUGACAAAAACCAAUUUCGUUCGUAGCAGCAUGGUUUCCAUGAAUUUCAUAAUCGGGAAGUUGAUUUGGGGUUGCUGCUGGAUUGGACAUAUGAGUUUCAUCGCCAAAAAUAGAUUUUGUCAUAAUAUUUGACGCACCUAUAAAAUUUUUCAAACAAAUGUUAGUUAUAGUUAUAAUAUUUUAAUAAAGGUUUUUGAUAUUUUAUAUAUCAUCUUUUCUAGCAAAACUAGGCUUACAUGAUAAAACAAGAAAUAAAAGAGUGAAAAACAAAACAUUUAUCUUCAUUCCUGUUUUGGAAGUUCAACAACAGCUGUAAACAGUGAGUUUUGGUUGAUGUUUUAAGUUUGUUUUUUUGUGAAAUUUAUAAGUUUAGUUGUGUCAUAUUUAUAGCUGUUUCAACCCAUGUUAUACAAUAGUAAUAGUUUAAUCAACAUCUUUUAAGUAAUUAAUAGACAUUAGAAAAACUGUUCUUUUUUUUAAAUAAUAGUAUUCGUUUUCAAAUAUUCAUAUAAGUGUAAUGGUAAUUAUUAUUAGUCAUUAAUUGUUAAGCGUAGAUAAAAACAGUAUUUUCAUUAUUGUACAUUUAAUUUUUUUAUAUAGAGAGAGUGAAAUAGAGUAUGAAAUCCAACUUGAGAUCAUUAUCGAUAAAAUAUAUUAGUUAUCAAUGUUAUAAGUUUUAUUUUUAGUAGUAUAUUUUUCUACUAACAGUAUCAAAUGUAAGAACACAAACUCGACUUUGAAAUGGUUUUAUAUAUGCCUGGUGAUUUAGCAAAUUUUCGUGUCGACGCACGUAGUUGUUGGUGCAUAUUAAUAUGUAUUAAAGAAAUUUUUGAUAGCCAAUUUUAUAUCACCAAGCGAGUUUUCUCCGAAUUUUUACCCAUAUUUACAUGGUACUAGAACAAAUUUUUGGGUAAAUAAUUAGCUUUGAAAUUUUUUCCAGCGUAACCAUUUUUUAUUUCAGAGUUCUUUCAAGAUGAAUUAUAGAGAAGAGAAACUGUACAUUGAGAAUUUUUAUAGGAUAGUAAAUAUAUCCUGUAUAGUAAUACACUUUUUCUCAAUGUACACAUUCUCUUAAUCCACUCAAAGUAGUAUGAAAGUGUUAUUGAAAAAAGUUCAUAGUUUAUAUAAAAUUGAUCUCUUUUUGUUGUGGUUAAUAGCAUUGCACAAAAUUUAUGUCCAAUACAUUCAAGCGUAGAUAACAUAUAUAUUUUUAUAAAGUGUAAAUAAUAUAUAGUUUCAAUGAAAAACUAACAUUGAUUUGAAAACAACGUCUUAUUAUUUUUCAAUAAUAAAUAUUUCAAAGAAAAUACAACAGUUUAUCCUGGAAUAUAUCUUCUUUUAUAAUCACACCAGUAUUUAAAACAACGACAUUCCAACAUAUACCUAUCCUUUCUCAUACAAUGACGUGCACAUUCUUGACAAAAACCAAUUUCGUUCGUAGCAGCAUGGUUUCCAUGAAUUUCAUAAUCGGGAAGUUGAUUUGGGGUUGCUGCUGGAUUGGACAUAUGAGUUUCAUCGCCAAAAAUAGAUUUUGUCAUAAUAUUUGACGCACCUAUAAAAUUUUUCAAACAAAUGUUAGUUAUAGUUAUAAUAUUUUAAUAAAGGCUUUUGAUAUUUUAUAUAUCAUCUUUUCUAGCAAAACUAGGCUUACAUGAUAAAACAAGAAUAAAAGAGUGAAAAACAAAACAUUUAUCUUCAUUCCUGUUUUGGAAGUUCAACAACAACUGUAAACAGUGAGUUUUGGUUGAUGUUUUAAGUUUAUUUUUUUGUGAAAUUUAUAAGUUUAGUUGUGUCAUAUUUAUAGCUGUUUUCACCUAUGUUACACAAUAGUAAUAGUUUAAUCAACAUCUUUUAAGUAAUUAAUAGACAUUAGCAAAACUGUUCUUUUUUUAAAUAAUAGUAUUCGUUUUCAAAUAUUUAUAUAAGUGUAAUGGUAAUUAUUAUUAGUCAUUAAUUGUUAAACGUAGAUAAAAACAGUAUUUUCAUUACUGUAUAUUUAAUUUUUUGUAUAGAGAGAGUGAAAUAGAGUAUGAAAUCCAACUUGAGAUAAUUAUCGAUAAAAUAUAUUAGUUAUCAAUGUUAUAAGUUUUAUUUUUAGUAGUAUAUUUUUAUACUAAUAGUAUCAAAUGUAAGAACACAAACUCGACUUUGAAAUGGUUUUAUAUAUGCCUGGUCAUUUAGCAAAUUUUCGUGUCGAUGCCCGUAGUUGUUGGUGCAUAUUAAUAAGUAUUAAAGAGAAUUUUUGAUAGCCAAUUUUUUAUCACCAAGCGAGUUUUCUCCUAAUUUUUACCCAUAUUUACAUGCUACUAGAAAAAAAUUUUGUGUAAAUAAUUAGCUUUGAAAUUUUUUCCAGCAUAACCAGUUUUCAUUUCAGAGUUCUUUCAAGAUGAAUUAUAGAGAAUAUAAACUGUACAUUGAGAAUUUUUAUAGGAUAGUAAAUAUAUCUUGUAUAGUAAGACACCUUUUCUCAAUGUACACUUUCUCUUAAUCCACUUAAAGUAGUAUGAAAGUGUUAUUGAAAAAAGUUCAUAGUUUCUAUAAAAUUGAUCUCUUUUUGUUGUGGUUAAUAACAUUGCACAAAAUUUAUGUCCAAUACAUUCAUGCGUAGAUAACAUAUAUAUUUUUAUAAAGUGUAAAUAAUAUAAAGUUUUUUAUGAAAAACUAACACUGAUUUGAAAACAAACGUCUUAUUAUUUUUCAAUAAUAUAUAUUUCAAAGAAAAUACAACAGUUUAUCCAGGAACAUAUCCUCUUUUAUAAUCACACCAGCAUUCAAAACCACGACAUUCCAACAUAUACCUAUCCUUUCUCAUACAAUGACGUGCACAUUCUUGACAAAAACCAAUUUCGUUCGUAGCAGCAUGGUUUCCAUGAAUUUCAUAAUCGGGAAGUUGAUUUGGGCUUGCUGCUGGAUUGGAGAUAUGAGUUUUAUCGCCAGAAAUAGAUUUUGUCAUAAUAUUUGACGCACCUAUAAAACUUUUCAAACAAAUGUUAGUUAUAGUUAUUAUAUUUUAAUAAAGGUUUUUGAUAUUUUAUAUAUCAUCUUUACUAGCAUAACUAGGCUUACAUGAUAAAACAAGAAUUAAAAGAGUGAAAAACAAAACAUUUAUCUUCAUUCCUGUUUUGGAAGUUCAACAACAGCUGUAAACAGUGAGUUUUGGUUGAUGUUUUAAGUUUAUUUUUUUGUGAAAUUUAUAAGUUUAGUUGUGUCAUAUUUAUAGCUGUUUUCACCUAUGUUACACAAUAGUAAUAGUUUAAUCAACAUCUUUUAAGUAAUUAAUAGACAUUAGAAAAACUGUUCUUUUCUUUAAAUAAUAGUAUUCGUUUUCAAAUAUUCAUAUAAGUGUAAUGGUAAUUAUUAUUAGUCAUUAAUUGUUAAACGUAGAUAAAAACAGUAUUUUCAUUACUGUAUAUUUAAUUUUUUGUAUAGAGAGAGUGAAAUAGAGUAUGAAAUCCAACUUGAGAUAAUUAUCGAUAAAAUAUAUUAGUUAUCAAUGUUAUAAGUUUUAUUUUUAGUAGUAUAUUUUUAUACUAAUAGUAUCAAAUGUAAGAACACAAACUCGACUUUGAAAUGGUUUUAUAUAUGCCUGGUCAUUUAGCAAAUUUUCGUGUCGAUGCCCGUAGUUGUUGGUGCAUAUUAAUAAGUAUUAAAGAGAAUUUUUGAUAGCCAAUUUUUUAUCACCAAGCGAGUUUUCUCCUAAUUUUUACCCAUAUUUACAUGCUACUAGAAAAAAAUUUUGUGUAAAUAAUUAGCUUUGAAAUUUUUUCCAGCAUAACCAGUUUUCAUUUCAGAGUUCUUUCAAGAUGAAUUAUAGAGAAUAUAAACUGUACAUUGAGAAUUUUUAUAGGAUAGUAAAUAUAUCUUGUAUAGUAAGACACCUUUUCUCAAUGUACACUUUCUCUUAAUCCACUCAAAGUAGUAUGAAAGUGUUAUUGAAAAAAGUUCAUAGUUUAUAUAAAAUUGAUCUCUUUUUUUUGUGGUUAAUAACAUUGCACAAAAUUUAUGUCCAAUACAUUCAUGCGUAGAUAACAUAUAUAUUUUUAUAAAGUGUAAAUAAUAUAAAGUUUUUUAUGAAAAACUAACACUGAUUUGAAAACAAACGUCUUAUUAUUUUUCAAUAAUAUAUAUUUCAAAGAAAAUACAACAGUUUAUCCAGGAACAUAUCCUCUUUUAUAAUCACACCAGCAUUCAAAACCACGACAUUCCAACAUAUACCUAUCCUUUCUCAUACAAUGACGUGCACAUUCUUGACAAAAACCAAUUUCGUUCGUAGCAGCAUGGUUUCCAUGAAUUUCAUAAUCGGGAAGUUGAUUUGGGCUUGCUGCUGGAUUGGAGAUAUGAGUUUUAUCGCCAGAAAUAGAUUUUGUCAUAAUAUUUGACGCACCUAUAAAACUUUUCAAACAAAUGUUAGUUAUAGUUAUUAUAUUUUAAUAAAGGUUUUUGAUAUUUUAUAUAUCAUCUUUACUAGCAUAACUAGGCUUACAUGAUAAAACAAGAAUUAAAAGAGUGAAAAACAAAACAUUUAUCUUCAUUCCUGUUUUGGAAGUUCAACAACAGCUGUAAACAGUGAGUUUUGGUUGAUGUUUUAAGUUUAUUUUUUUGUGAAAUUUAUAAGUUUAGUUGUGUCAUAUUUAUAGCUGUUUUCACCUAUGUUACACAAUAGUAAUAGUUUAAUCAACAUCUUUUAAGUAAUUAAUAGACAUUAGAAAAACUGUUCUUUUCUUUAAAUAAUAGUAUUCGUUUUCAAAUAUUCAUAUAAGUGUAAUGGUAAUUAUUAUUAGUCAUUAAUUGUUAAGCGUAGAUAAAAACAGUAUUUUCAUUAUUGUAUAUUUAAUUUUUUUAUAUAGAGAGAGUGAAAUAGAGUAUGAAAUCCAACUUGAGAUCAUUAUCGAUAAAAUAUAUUAGUUAUCAAUGUUAUAAGUUUUAUUUUUAGUAGUAUAUUUUUAUACUAAUAGUAUCAAAUGUAAGAACACAAACUCGACUUUGAAAUGGUUUUAUAUAUGCCUGGUCAUUUAGCAAAUUUUCGUGUCGAUGCCCGUAGUUGUUGGUGCAUAUUAAUAAGUAUUAAAGAGAAUUUUUGAUAGCCAAUUUUUUAUCACCAAGCGAGUUUUCUCCUAAUUUUUACCCAUAUUUACAUGCUACUAGAAAAAAAUUUUGUGUAAAUAAUUAGCUUUGAAAUUUUUUCCAGCAUAACCAGUUUUCAUUUCAGAGUUCUUUCAAGAUGAAUUAUAGAGAAUAUAAACUGUACAUUGAGAAUUUUUAUAGGAUAGUAAAUAUAUCCUGUAUAGUAAUACACUUUUUCUCAGUGUACACUUUCUCUUAAUCCACUCAAAGUAGUAUGAAAGUGUUAUUGAAAAAAGUUCAUAGUUUAUAUAAAAUUGAUCUCUUUUUGUUGUGGUUAAUAACAUUGCACAAAAUUUAUGUCCAAUACAUUCAUGCGUAGAUAACAUAUAUAUUUUUAUAAAGUGUAAAUAAUAUAAAGUUUCAAUGAAAAACUAACACUGAUUUGAAAACAAACGUCUUAUUAUUUUUCAAUAAUAUAUAUUUCAAAGAAAAUACAACAGUUUAUCCUGGAAUAUAUCCUCUUUUAUAAUCACACCAGCAUUUAAAACCACGACAUUCCAACAUAUACCUAUCCUUUCAAAUACAAUGACGUGCACAUUCUUGACAAAAACCAAUUUCGUUCGUAGCAGCAUGGUUUCCAUGAAUUUCAUAAUCGGGAAGUUGAUUUGGGGUUGCUGCUGGAUUGGACAUAUGAGUUUCAUCGCCAAAAAUAGAUUUUGUCAUAAUAUUUGACGCACCUAUAAAAUUUUUCAAACAAAUGUUAGUUAUAGUUAUAAUAUUUUAAUAAAGGUUUUUGAUAUUUUAUAUAUCAUCUUUUCUAGCAAAACUAGGCUUACAUGAUAAAACAAGAAAUAAAAGAGUGAAAAACAAAACAUUUAUCUUCAUUCCUGUUUUGGAAGUUCAACAACAGCUGUAAACAGGGAGUUUUGGUUGAUGUUUUAAGUUUAUUUUUUUGUGAAAUUUAUAAGUUUAGUUGUGUCAUAUUUAUAGCUGUUUUCACCUAUGUUACACAAUAGUAAUAGUUUAAUCAACAUCUUUUAAGUAAUUAAUAGACAUUAGCAAAACUGUUCUUUUCUUUAAAUAAUAGUAUUCGUUUUCAAAUAUUCAUAUAAGUGUAAUGGUAAUUAUUAUUAGUCAUUAAUUGUUAAGUGUAGAUAAAAAUAGUAUUUUCAUUAUUGUAUAUUUAAUUUUUUAUAUAGAGAGAGUGAAAUAGAGUAUGAAAUCCAUCUUGAGAUCAUUAUCGAUAAAAUAUAUUAGUUAUCAAUGUUAUAAGUUUUAUUUUUAGUAGUAUAUUUUUAUACUAACAGUAUCAAAUGUAAGAGCACAAACUCGACUUUGAAAUGGUUUUAUAUAUGCCUGGUGAUUUAGCAAAUUUUCGUGUCGACGCACGUAGUUGUUGGUGCAUAUUAAUAAGUAUUAAAGAGAAUUUUUGAUAGCCAAUUUUUUAUCACCAAGCGAGUUUUCUCCAAAUUUUUACCCAUAUUUACAUGGUACUAGAACAAAUUUUUGUGUAAAUAAUUAGCUUUGAAAUUUUUUCCAGCAUAACCAGUUUUCAUUUCAGAGUUCUUUCAAGAUGAAUUAUAGAGAAGAGAAACUGUACAUUGAGAAUUUUUAUAGGAUAGUAAAUAUAUCUUGUAUAGUAAGACACCUUUUCUCAAUGUACACUUUCUCUUAAUCCACUUAAAGUAGUAUGAAAGUGUUAUUGAAAAAAGUUCAUAGUUUCUAUAAAAUUGAUCUCUUUUUGUUGUGGUUAAUAACAUUGCACAAAAUUUAUGUCCAAUACAUUCAUGCGUAGAUAACAUAUAUAUUUUUAUAAAGUGUAAAUAAUAUAAAGUUUUUUAUGAAAAACUAACACUGAUUUGAAAACAAACGUCUUAUUAUUUUUCAAUAAUAUAUAUUGCAAAGAAAAUACAACAGUUUAUCCAGGAACAUAUCCUCUUUUAUAAUCACACCAGCAUUCAAAACCACGACAUUCCAACAUAUACCUAUCCUUUCUCAUACAAUGACGUGCACAUUCUUGACAAAAACCAAUUUCGUUCGUAGCAGCAUGGUUUCCAUGAAUUUCAUAAUCGGGAAGUUGAUUUGGGCUUGCUGCUGGAUUGGAGAUAUGAGUUUUAUCGCCAGAAAUAGAUUUUGUCAUAAUAUUUGACGCACCUAUAAAACUUUUCAAACAAAUGUUAGUUAUAGUUAUUAUAUUUUAAUAAAGGUUUUUGAUAUUUUAUAUAUCAUCUUUACUAGCAUAACUAGGCUUACAUGAUAAAACAAGAAUUAAAAGAGUGAAAAACAAAACAUUUAUCUUCAUUCCUGUUUUGGAAGUUCAACAACAGCUGUAAACAGUGAGUUUUGGUUGAUGUUUUAAGUUUAUUUUUUUGUGAAAUUUAUAAGUUUAGUUGUGUCAUUUUUANNNNNNNNNNNNNNNNNNNNNNNNNNNNNNNNNNNNNNNNNNNNNNNNNNNNNNNNNNNNNNNNNNNNNNNNNNNNNNNNNNNNNNNNNNNNNNNNNNNNNNNNNNNNNNNNNNNNNNNNNNNNNNNNNNNNNNNNNNNNNNNNNNNNNNNNNNNNNNNNNNNNNNNNNNNNNNNNNNNNNNNNNNNNNNNNNNNNNNNNNNNNNNNNNNNNNNNNNNNNNNNNNNNNNNNNNNNNNNNNNNNNNNNNNNNNNNNNNNNNNNNNNNNNNNNNNNNNNNNNNNNNNNNNNNNNNNNNNNNNNNNNNNNNNNNNNNNNNNNNNNNNNNNNNNNNNNNNNNNUUUUAUCACCAAGCGAGUUUUCUCCCUAAUUUUUACCCAUAUUUACAUGCUACUAGAAAAAAAUUUUGUGUAAAUAAUUAGCUUUGAAAUUUUUUCCAGCAUAACCAGUUUUCAUUUCAGAGUUCUUUCUAGAUGAAUUAUAGAGAAUAUAAACUGUACAUUGAGAAUUUUUAUAGGAUAGUAAAUAUAUCUUGUAUAGUAAGACACCUUUUCUCAAUGUACACUUUCUCUUAAUCCACUUAAAGUAGUAUGAAAGUGUUAUUGAAAAAAGUUCAUAGUUUCUAUAAAAUUGAUCUCUUUUUGUUGUGGUUAAUAACAUUGCACAAAAUUUAUGUCCAAUACAUUCAUGCGUAGAUAACACAUAUAUUUUUAUAAAGUGUAAAUAAUAUAAAGUUUCAAUGAAAAACUAACACUGAUUUGAAAACAAACGUCUUAUUAUUUUUCAAUAAUAUAUAUUUCAAAGAAAAUACAACAGUUUAUCCUGGAAUAUAUCCUCUUUUAUAAUCACACCAGCAUUUAAAACCACGACAUUCCAACAUAUACCUAUCCUUUCAAAUACAAUGACGUGCACAUUCUUGACAAAAACCAAUUUCGUUCGUAGCAGCAUGGUUUCCAUGAAUUUCAUAAUCGGGAAGUUGAUUUGGGGUUGCUGCUGGAUUGGACAUAUGAGUUUCAUCGCCAAAAAUAGAUUUUGUCAUAAUAUUUGACGCACCUAUAAAAUUUUUCAAACAAAUGUUAGUUAUAGUUAUAAUAUUUUAAUAAAGGUUUUUGAUAUUUUAUAUAUCAUCUUUUCUAGCAAAACUAGGCUUACAUGAUAAAACAAGAAAUAAAAGAGUGAAAAACAAAACAUUUAUCUUCAUUCCUGUUUUGGAAGUUCAACAACAGCUGUAAACAGGGAGUUUUGGUUGAUGUUUUAAGUUUAUUUUUUUGUGAAAUUUAUAAGUUUAGUUGUGUCAUAUUUAUAGCUGUUUUCACCUAUGUUACACAAUAGUAAUAGUUUAAUCAACAUCUUUUAAGUAAUUAAUAGACAUUAGAAAAACUGUUCUUUUCUUUAAAUAAUAGUAUUCGUUUUCAAAUAUUCAUAUAAGUGUAAUGGUAAUUAUUAUUAGUCAUUAAUUGUUAAGCGUAGAUAAAAACAGUAUUUUCAUUAUUGUAUAUUUAAUUUUUUAUAUAGAGAGAGUGAAAUAGAGUAUGAAAUCCAACUUGAGAUCAUUAUCGAUAAAAUAUAUUAGUUAUCAAUGUUAUAAGUUUUAUUUUUAGUAGUAUAUUUUUAUACUAACAGUAUCAAAUGUAAGAGCACAAACUCGACUUUGAAAUGGUUUUAUAUAUGCCUGGUGAUUUAGCAAAUUUUCGUGUCGACGCACGUAGUUGUUGGUGCAUAUUAAUAACUAUUAAAGAGAAUUUUCGAUAGCCAAUUUUUUAUCACCAAGCGAGUUUUCUCCGAAUUUUUACCCAUAUUUACAUGGUACUAGAACAAAUUUUUGUGUAAAUAAUUAGCUUUGAAAUUUUUUUCAGCAUAACCAGUUUUCAUUUCAGAGUUCUUUCAAGAUGAAUUAUAGAGAAGAGAAACUGUACAUUGAGAAUUGUUAUAGGAUAGUAAAUAUAUCCUGUAUAGUAAUACACUUUUUCUCAGUGUACACUUUCUCUUAAUCCACUCAAAGUAGUAUGAAAGUGUUAUUGAAAAAAGUUCAUAGUUUAUAUAAAGGUCAUGNNNNNNNNNNNNNNNNNNNNNNNNNNNNNNNNNNNNNNNNNNNNNNNNNNNNNNNNNNNNNNNNNNNNNNNNNNNNNNNNNNNNNNNNNNNNNNNNNNNNUUUUCUAGCAUAACUAGGCUUACAUGAUAAAACAAGAAUUAAAAGAGUGAAAAACAAAACAUUUAUCUUCAUUCCUGUUUUGGAAGUUCAACAACAGCCGUAAAAAGUGAGUUUUGGUUGAUGUUUUAAGUUUAUUUUUUGUGAAAUUUAUAAGUUUAGUUGUUUCAUAUUUAUAGCUGUUUUCAGCUAUGUUACACAAUAGUAAUAGUUUAAUCAACAUCUUUUAAGUAAUUAAUAGACAUUAGAAAACCUGUUCUUUUUUUUAAAUAAUAGUAUUCGUUUUCAAAUAUUCAUAUAAGUGUAAUGGUAAUUAUUAUUAGUCAUUAAUUGUUAAGCGUAGAUAAAAACAGUAUUUUCAUUAAUGUAUAUUUAAUUUUUUAUAUAGAGAGAGUGAAAUAGAGUAUGAAAUCCAACUUUAGAUCAUUAUCGAUAAAAUAUAUUAGUUAUCAAUGUUAUAAGUUUUAUUUUUAGUAGUAUAUUUUUAUACUAACAGUAUCAAACGUAAGAACACAAACUCGACUUUGAAAUGGUUUUAUAUAUGCCUGGUCAUUUAGCAAAUUUUCGUGUCGACGCCCGUAGUUGUUGGUGCAUAUUAAUAAGUAUUAACGAGAAUUUUUGAUAGCCAAUUUUUUAUCACCAAGCGAGUUUUCUUCUAAUUUUUACCCAAAUUUACAUGCUACUAGAAAAAAAUUUUGUGUAAAUAAUUAGCUUUGAAAUUUUUUCUAGCAUAACCAGUUUUCAUUUCAAAAUUCUUUCAAGAUGAAUUAUAGAGAAGAUAAACUGUACAUUGAGAAUUUUUAUAGGAUAGUAAAUAUAUCCUGUAUAGUAAGACACUUUUUCUCAAUGUACACAUUCUCUUAAUCCACUCAAAGUAGUAUGAAAGUGUUAUUGAAAAAAGUUCAUAGUUUAUAUAAAACUGAUUACUUUUUGUUGUGGUUAAUAACAUUGCACAAAAUUUAUGUCCAAUACAUUCAUGCGUGGAUAACAUAUAUAUUUUUAAAAAGUGUAAAUAAUAUAAAGUUUGAAUGAAAAACUAACACUGAUUAGAAAACAAACGUCUUAUUAUUUUUCAAUAAUAUAUAUUUCAAAGAAAAUACAACAGUUUAUCCAGAAAUAUAUCCUCUUUUAUAAUCACACCAGCAUUUAAAACCACGACAUUCCAACAUAUACCUAUCCUUUCUCAUACAAUGAAGUGCACAUUCUUGACAAAAACCAAUUUCGUUCGUAGCAGCAUGCUUUCCAUGAAAUUCAUAAUCGGGAAGUUGAUUUGGGCUUGCUGCUGGAUUGGAGAUAUGAGUUUUAUCGCCAAAAAUAGAUUUUGUCAUAAUAUUUGACGCACCUAUAAAACUUUUCAAACAAAUGUUAGUUAUAGUUAUUAUAUUUUAAUAAAGGUUUUUGAUAUUUUAUAUAUCAUCUUUUCUAGCAUAACUAGGCUUACAUGAUAAAACAAGAAUUAAAAGAGUGAAAAACAAAACAUUUAUCUUCAUUCCUGUUUUGGAAGUUCAACAACAGCUGUAAAAAGUGAGUUUUGGUUGAUUUUUUAAGUUUAUUUUUUGUGAAAUUUAUAAGUUUAGUUGUUUCAUAUUUAUAGCUGUUUUCAGCUAUGUUACACAGUAGUAAUAGUUUAAUCAACAUCUUUUAAGUAAUUAAUAGACAUUAGAAAACCUGUUCUUUUUUUUAAAUAAUAGUAUUCGUUUUCAAAUAUUCAUAUAAGUGUAAUGGUAAUUAUUAUUAGUCAUUAAUUGUUAAGCGUAGAUAAAAACAGUAUUUUCAUUAAUGUAUAUUUAAUUUUUUAUAUAGAGAGAGUGAAAUAGAGUAUGAAAUCCAACUUUAGAUCAUUAUCGAUAAAAUAUAUUAGUUAUCAAUGUUCUAAGUUUUAUUUUUAGUAGUAUAUUUUUAUACUAACAGUAUCAAACGUAAGAACACAAACUCGACUUUGAAAUGGUUUUAUAUAUGCCUGGUCAUUUAGCAAAUUUUCGUGUCGACGCCCGUAGUUGUUGGUGCAUAUUAAUAAGUAUUAACGAGAAUUUUUGAUAGCCAAUUUUUUAUCACCAAGCGAGUUUUCUUCUAAUUUUUACCCAAAUUUACAUGCUACUAGAAAAAAAUUUUGUGUAAAUAAUUAGCUUUGAAAUUUUUUCCAGCAUAACCAGUUUUCAUUUCAAAGUUCUUUCAAGAUGAAUUAUAGAGAAGAUAAACUGUACAUUGAGAAUUUUUAUAGGAUAGUAAAUAUAUCCUGUAUAGUAAGACACUUUUUCUCAAUGUACACUUUCUCUUAAUCCACUCAAAGUAGUAUGAAAGUGUUAUUGAAAAAAGUUCAUAGUUUAUAUAAAAUUGAUCUCUUUUUGUUGUGGUUAAUAACAUUGCACAAAAUUUAUGUCCAAUACAUUCAUGCGUAGAUAACAUAUAUAUUUUUAAAAAGUGUAAAUAAUAUAAAGUUUCAAUGAAAAACUAACACUGAUUUGAAAACAAACGUCUUAUUAUUUUUCAAUUAUAUAUAUUUCAAAGAAAAUACAACAGUUUAUCCAGGAAUAUAUCCUCUUUUAUAAUCACACCAGCAUUUAAAACCACGACAUUCCAACAUAUACCUAUCCUUUCUCAUACAAUGACGUGCACAUUCUUGACAAAAACCAAUUUCGUUCGUAGCAGCAUGGUUUCCAUGAAUUUCAUAAUCGGGAAGUUGAUUUGGGCUUGCUGCUGGAUUGGAGAUAUGAGUUUUAUCGCCAAAAAUAGAUUUUGUCAUAAUAUUUGACGCACCUAUAAAACUUUUCAAACAAAUGUUAGUUAUAGUUAUUAUAUUUUAAUAAAGGUUUUUGAUAUUUUAUAUAUUAUCUUUUCUAGCAUAACUAGGCUUACAUGAUAAAACAAGAAUUAAAAGAGUGAAAAACAAAACAUUUAUCUUCAUUCCUGUUUUGGAAGUUCAACAACAGCUGUAAAAAGUGAGUUUUGGUUGAUUUUUUAAGUUUAUUUUUUGUGAAAUUUAUAAGUUUAGUUGUUUCAUAUUUAUAGCUGUUUUCAGCUAUGUUACACAGUAGUAAUAGUUUAAUCAACAUCUUUUAAGUAAUUAAUAGACAUUAGAAAACCUGUUCUUUUUUUUAAAUAAUAGUAUUCGUUUUCAAAUAUUCAUAUAAGUGUAAUGGUAAUUAUUAUUAGUCAUUAAUUGUUAAGCGUAGAUAAAAACAGUAUUUUCAUUAAUGUAUAUUUAAUUUUUUAUAUAGAGAGAGUGAAAUAGAGUAUGAAAUCCAACUUUAGAUCAUUAUCGAUAAAAUAUAUUAGUUAUCAAUGUUCUAAGUUUUAUUUUUAGUAGUAUAUUUUUAUACUAACAGUAUCAAACGUAAGAACACAAACUCGACUUUGAAAUGGUUUUAUAUAUGCCUGGUCAUUUAGCAAAUUUUCGUGUCGACGCCCGUAGUUGUUGGUGCAUAUUAAUAAGUAUUAACGAGAAGUUUUGAUAGCCAAUUUUUUAUCACCAAGCGAGUUUUCUUCUAAUUUUUACCCAAAUUUACAUGCUACUAGAAAAAAAUUUUGUGUAAAUAAUUAGCUUUGAAAUUUUUUCUAGCAUAACCAGUUUUCAUUUCAAAGUUCUUUCAAGAUGAAUUAUAGAGAAGAUAAACUGUACAUUGAGAAUUUUUAUAGGAUAGUAAAUAUAUCCUGUAUAGUAAGACACUUUUUCUCAAUGUACACAUUCUCUUAAUCCACUCAAAGUAGUAUGAAAGUGUUAUUGAAAAAAGUUCAUAGUUUAUAUAAAAUUGAUCUCUUUAUGUUGUGGUUAAUAACAUUGCACAAAAUUUAUGUCCAAUACAUUCAUGCGUAGAUAACAUAUAUAUUUUUAAAAAGUGUAAAUAAUAUAAAGUUUCAAUGAAAAACUAACACUGAUUAGAAAACAAACGUCUUAUUAUUUUUCAAUAAUAUAUAUUUCAAAGAAAAUACAACAGUUUAUCCAGAAAUAUAUCCUCUUUUAUAAUCACACCAGCAUUUAAAACCACGACAUUCCAACAUAUACCUAUCCUUUCUCAUACAAUGAAGUGCACAUUCUUGACAAAAACCAAUUUCGUUCGUAGCAGCAUGCUUUCCAUGAAAUUCAUAAUCGGGAAGUUGAUUUGGGCUUGCUGCUGGAUUGGAGAUAUGAGUUUUAUCGCCAAAAAUAGAUUUUGUCAUAAUAUUUGACGCACCUAUAAAACUUUUCAAACAAAUGUUAGUUAUAGUUAUUAUAUUUUAAUAAAGGUUUUUGAUAUUUUAUAUAUCAUCUUUUCUAGCAUAACUAGGCUUACAUGAUAAAACAAGAAUUAAAAGAGUGAAAAACAAAACAUUUAUCUUCAUUCCUGUUUUGGAAGUUCAACAACAGCUGUAAAAAGUGAGUUUUGGUUGAUGUUUUAAGUUUAUUUUUUGUGAAAUUUAUAAGUUUAGUUGUUUCAUAUUUAUAGCUGUUUUCAGCUAUGUUACACAGUAGUAAUAGUUUAAUCAACAUCUUUUAAGUAAUUAAUAGACAUUAGAAAACCUGUUCUUUUUUUUAAAUAAUAGUAUUCGUUUUCAAAUAUUCAUAUAAGUGUAAUGGUAAUUAUUAUUAGUCAUUAAUUGUUAAGCGUAGAUAAAAACAGUAUUUUCAUUAAUGUAUAUUUAAUUUUUUAUAUAGAGAGAGUGAAAUAGAGUAUGAAAUCCAACUUUAGAUCAUUAUCGAUAAAAUAUAUUAGUUAUCAAUGUUAUAAGUUUUAUUUUUAGUAGUAUAUUUUUAUACUAACAGUAUCAAACGUAAGAACACAAACUCGACUUUCAAAUGGUUUUAUAUAUGCCUGGUCAUUUAGCAAAUUUUCGUGUCGACGCCCGUAGUUGUUGGUGCAUAUUAAUAAGUAUUAACGAGAAUUUUUGAUAGCCAAUUUUUUAUCACCAAGCGAGUUUUCUUCUAAUUUUUACCCAUAUUUACAUGCUACUGGAAAAAAUGUUGUAUAAAUAAUUAGCUUUGAAAUUUUUUCCAGCAUAACCAGUUUUCAUUUCAGAGUUCUUUCAAGAUGAAUUAUAGAGAAGAUAAACUGUACAUUGAGAGUUUUUAUACGAUAGUAAAUAUAUCUUGUAUAGUAAGACACUUUUUCUCAAUGUACACUUUCUCUUAAUCCACUCAAAGUAGUAUGAAAGUGUUACUGAAAAAAGUUCAUAGUUUCUAUAAAAUUGAUCUCUUUUUGUUGUGGUUAAUAACAUUGCACAAAAUUUAUGUCCAAUACAUUCAUGCGUAGAUAACAUAUAUAUUUUUAUAAAGUGUAAAUAAUAUAAAGUUUCAAUGAAAAACUAACACUGAUUUGAAAACAAACUUCUUAUUAUUUAACAAUAAUAUAAAUUUCAAAGAAAAUACAACAGUUUAUCCAGGAAUAUAUCCUCUUUUAUAAUCACAACAGCAUUUAAAACCACGACAUUCCAACAUAUACCUAUCCUUUCUCAUACAAUGACGUGCACAUUCUUGACAAAAACCAAUUUCGUUCGUAGCAGCAUGGUUUCCAUGAAUUUCAUAAUCGAGAAGUUGAUUUGGGCUUGCUGCUGGAUUGGACAUCUGAGUUUUAUCGCCAGAAAUAGAUUUUGUCAUAAUAUUUGACGCACCUAUAAAAUUUUUCAAACAAAUGUUAGUUAUAGUUAUUAUAUUUUAAUAAAGGUUUUUGAUAUUUUAUAUAUCAUCUUUUCUAGCAUAACUAGGCUUACAUGAUAAAACAAGAAUUAAAAGAGUGAAAAACAAAACAUUUAUCUUCAUUCCUGUUUUGGAAGUUCAACAACAGCUGUAAAAAGUGAGUUUUGGUUGAUGUUUUAAGUUUAUUUUUUUGUGAAAUUUAUAAGUUUAGUUGUGUCAUAUUUAUAGCUGUUUUCACUUAUGUUACACAAUAGUAAUAGUUUAAUCAACAUCUUUUAAGUAAUUAAUAGACAUUAGAAAACCUGUUCUUUUUUUUAAAUAAUAGUAUUCGUUUUCAAAUAUUCAUAUAAGUGUAAUGGUAAUUAUUAUUAGUCAUUAAUUGUUAAGCGUAGAUAAAAACAGUAUUUUCAUUAAUGUAUAUUUAAUUUUUUAUAUAGAGAGAGUGAAAUAGAGUAUGAAAUCCAACUUUAGAUCAUUAUCGAUAAAAUAUAUUAGUUAUCAAUGUUAUAAGUUUUAUUUUUAGUAGUAUAUUUUUAUACUAACAGUAUCAAACGUAAGAACACAAACUCGACUUUGAAAUUGUUUUAUAUAUGCCUGGUCAUUUAGCAAAUUUUCGUGUCGACGCCCGUAGUUGUUGGUGCAUAUUAAUAAGUAUUAACGAGAAUUUUUGAUAGCCAAUUUUUUAUCACCAAGCGAGUUUUCUUCUAAUUUUUACCCAAAUUUACAUGCUACUAGAAAAAAAUUUUGUGUAAAUAAUUAGCUUUGAAAUUUUUUCCAGCAUAACCAGUUUUCAUUUCAAAGUUCUUUCAAGAUGAAUUAUAGAGAAGAUAAACUGUACAUUGAGAAUUUUUAUAGGAUAGUAAAUAUAUCCUGUAUAGUAAGACACUUUUUCUCAAUGUACACUUUCUCUUAAUCCACUCAAAGUAGUAUGAAAGUGUUAUUGAAAAAAGUUCAUAGUUUAUAUAAAAUUGAUCUCUUUUUGUUGUGGUUAAUAACAUUGCACAAAAUUUAUGUCCAAUACAUUCAUGCGUAGAUAACAUAUAUAUUUUUAAAAAGUGUAAAUAAUAUAAAGUUUCAAUGAAAAACUAACACUGAUUUGAAAACAAACGUCUUAUUAUUUUUCAAUUAUAUAUAUUUCAAAGAAAAUACAACAGUUUAUCCAGGAAUAUAUCCUCUUUUAUAAUCACACCAGCAUUUAAAACCACGACAUUCCAACAUAUACCUAUCCUUUCUCAUACAAUGACGUGCACAUUCUUGACAAAAACCAAUUUCUUUCGUAGCAGCAUGGUUUCCAUGAAUUUCAUAAUCGGGAAGUUGAUUUGGGCUUGCUGCUGGAUUGGAGAUAUGAGUUUUAUCGCCAAAAAUAGAUUUUGUCAUAAUAUUUGACGCACCUAUAAAACUUUUCAAACAAAUGUUAGUUAUAGUUAUUAUAUUUUAAUAAAGGUUUUUGAUAUUUUAUAUAUCAUCUUUUCUAGCAUAACUAGGCUUACAUGAUAAAACAAGAAUUAAAAGAGUGAAAAACAAAACAUUUAUCUUCAUUCCUGUUUUGGAAGUUCAACAACAGCUGUAAAAAGUGAGUUUUGGUUGAUGUUUUAAGUUUAUUUUUUGUGAAAUUUAUAAGUUUAGUUGUUUCAUAUUUAUAGCUGUUUUCAGCUAUGUUACACAGUAGUAAUAGUUUAAUCAACAUCUUUUAAGUAAUUAAUAGACAUUAGAAAACCUGUUCUUUUUUUUAAAUAAUAGUAUUCGUUUUCAAAUAUUCAUAUAAGUGUAAUGGUAAUUAUUAUUAGUCAUUAAUUGUUAAGCGUAGAUAAAAACAGUAUUUUCAUUAAUGUAUAUUUAAUUUUUUAUAUAGAGAGAGUGAAAUAGAGUAUGAAAUCCAACUUUAGAUCAUUAUCGAUAAAUAUAUUAGUUAUCAAUGUUAUAAGUUUUAUUUUUAGUAGUAUAUUUUUAUACUAACAGUAUCAAACGUAAGAACACAAACUCGACUUUGAAAUGGUUUUAUAUAUGCCUGGUCAUUUAGCAAAUUUUCGUGUCGACGCCCGUAGUUGUUGGUGCAUAUUAAUAAGUAUUAAAGAGAAUUUUUGAUAGCCAAUUUUUUAUCACCAAGCGAGUUUUCUUCUAAUUUUUACCCAUAUUUACAUGCUACUGGAAAAAUUUUUGUGUAAAUAAUUAGCUUUGAAAUUUUUUCCAGCAUAACCAGUUUUCAUUUCAGAGUUCUUUCAAGAUGAAUUAUAGAGAAGAUAAACUGUACAUUGAGAGUUUUUAUAGGAUAGUAAAUAUAUCUUGUAUAGUAAGACACUUUUUCUCAAUGUACACUUUCUCUUAAUCCACUCAAAGUAGUAUGAAAGUGUUAUUGAAAAAAGUUCAUAGUUUCUAUAAAAUUGAUCUCUUUUUGUUGUGGUUAAUAACAUUGCACAAAAUUUAUGUCCAAUACAUUCAUGCGUAGAUAACAUAUAUAUUUUUAUAAAGGGUAAAUAAUAUAAAGUUUCAAUGAAAAACUAACACUGAUUUGAAAACAAACUUCUUAUUAUUUAACAAUAAUAUAAAUUUCAAAGAAAAUACAACAGUUUAUCCAGGAAUAUAUCCUCUUUUAUAAUCACAACAGCAUUUAAAACCACGACAUUCCAACAUAUACCUAUCCUUUCUCAUACAAUGACGUGCACAUUCUUGACAAAAACCAAUUUCGUUCGUAGCAGCAUGGUUUCCAUGAAUUUCAUAAUCGAGAAGUUGAUUUGGGCUUGCUGCUGGAUUGGACAUCUGAGUUUUAUCGCCAGAAAUAGAUUUUGUCAUAAUAUUUGACGCACCUAUAAAAUUUUUCAAACAAAUGUUAGUUAUAGUUAUUAUAUUUUAAUAAAGGUUUUUUAUAUUUUAUAUAUCAUCUUUUCUAGCAAAACUAGACUUACAUGAUAAAACAAGAAUUAAAAUAGUGAAAAACAAAACAUUUAUCUUCAUUCCUGUUUUGGAAGUUCAACAACAGCUGUAAAAAGUGAGUUUUGGUUGAUGUUUUAAGUUUAUUUUUUUGUGAAAUUUAUAAGUUUAGUUGUGUCAUAUUUAUAGCUGUUUUCACUUAUGUUACACAAUAGUAAUAGUUUAAUCAACAUCUUUUAAGUAAUUAAUAGACAUUAGAAAAACUGUUCUUUUUUUUAAAUAAUAGUAUUCGUUUUCAAAUAUUCAUAUAAGUGUAAUGGUAAUUAUUAUUAGUCAUUAAUUGUUAAGCGUAGAUAAAAACAGUAUUUUCAUUAUUGUAUAUUUAAUUUUUGAUAUAGAGAGAGUGAAAUAGAGUAUGAAAUCCAACUUUAGAUCAUUAUCGAUAAAAUAUAUUAGUUAUCAAUGUUAUAAGUUUUAUUUUUAGUAGUAUAUUUUUAUACUAACAGUAUCAAACGUAAGAACACAAACUCGACUUUGAAAUGGUUUUAUAUAUGCCUGGUCAUUUAGCAAAUUUUCGUGUCGACGCCCGUAGUUGUUGGUGCAUAUUAAUAAGUAUUAAAGAGAAUUUUUGAUAGCCAAUUUUUUAUCACCAAGCGAGUUUUCUUCUAAUUUUUACCCAUAUUUACAUGCUACUAGAAAAAAUUUUGUGUAAAUAAUUAGCUUUGAAAUUUUUUCCAGCAUAACCAGUUUUCAUUUCAGAGUUCUUUCAAGAUGAAUUAUAGAGAAGAUAAACUGUACAUUGAGAGUUUUUAUAGGAUAGUAAAUAUAUCUUGUAUAGUAAGACACUUUUUCUCAAUGUACACUUUCUCUUAAUCCACUCAAAGUAGUAUGAAAGUGUUAUUGAAAAAAGUUCAUAGUUUCUAUAAAAUUGAUCUCUUUUUGUUGUGGUUAAUAACAUUGCACAAAAUUUAUGUCCAAUACAUUCAUGCGUAGAUAACAUAUAUAUUUUUAUAAAGUGUAAAUAAUAUAAAGUUUCAAUGAAAAACUAACACUGAUUUGAAAACAAACUUCUUAUUAUUUUUCAAUAAUAUAAAUUUCAAAGAAAAUACAACAGUUUAUCCAGGAAUAUAUCCUCUUUUAUAAUCACAACAGCAUUUAAAACCACGACAUUCCAACAUAUACCUAUCCUUUCUCAUACAAUGACGUGCACAUUCUUGACAAAAACCAAUUUCGUUCGUAGCAGCAUGGUUUCCAUGAAUUUCAUAAUCGAGAAGUUGAUUUGGGCUUGCUGCUGGAUUGGACAUCUGAGUUUUAUCGCCAGAAAUAGAUUUUGUCAUAAUAUUUGACGCACCUAUAAUUUUUUUCAAACAAAUGUUAGUUAUAGUUAUUAUAUUUUAAUAAAGGUUUUUGAUAUUUUAUAUAUCAUCUUUUCUAGCAAAACUAGACAUACAUGAUAAAACAAGAAUUAAAAGAGUGAAAAACAAAACAUUUAUCUUCAUUCCUGUUUUGGAAGUUCAACAACAGCUGUAAAAAGUGAGUUUUGGUUGAUGUUUUAAGUUUAUUUUUUUGUGAAAUUUAUAAGUUUAGUUUUGUCAUAUUUAUAGCUGUUUUCACCUAUGUUACACAAUAGUAAUAGUUUAAUCAACAUCUUUUAAGUAAUUAAUAGACAUUAGAAAAACUGUUCUUUUUUUUUUUAAAAUAAUAGUAUUCGUUUUCAAAUAUUCAUAUAAGUGUAAUGGUAAUUAUUAUUAGUCAUUAAUUGUUAAGCGUAGAUAAAAACAGUAUUUUCAUUAUUGUAUAUUUAAUUUUUUAUAUAGAGAGAGUGAAAUAAAGUAUGAAAUCCAACUUGAGAUCAUUAUCGAUAAAAUAUAUUAGUUAUCAAUGUUAUAAGUUUUAUGUUUAGUAGUAUAUUUUUAUACUAACAGUAUCAAAUGUAAGAACACAAACUCGACUUUGAAAUGGUUUUAUAUAUGCCUGGUGUUUUAAAAAAUUUUUGUGUCGACGCACGUAGUUGUUGGUGCAUAUUAAUAAAUAUUAAAGAGAAUUUUUGAUAGCUAAUUUUUUAUCACCAAGCGAGUUUUCUCCGAAUUUUUACCCAUAUUUACAUGGUACUAGAACAAAUUUUUGUGUAAUAAUUAGCUUUGAAAUUUUUUCCAGCAUAACCAGUUUUCAUUUCAGAGUUCUUUCAAGAUGAAUUAUAGAGAAGAGAAACUGUACAUUGAGAGUUUUUAUAGGAUAGUAAAUAUAUUCUGUAUAGUAAGACACUUUUUCUCAAUGUACACUUUCUCUUAAUCCACUCAAAGUAGUAUGAAAGUGUUAUUGAAAAAAGUUCAUAGUUUAUAUAAAAUUGAUCUCUUUUUGUUGUGGUUAAUAACAUUGCACAAAAUUUAUGUCCAAUACAUUCAUGCGUAGAUAACACAUAUAUUUUUAUAAAGUGUAAAUAAUAUAAAGUUUCAAUGAAAAACUAACACUGAUUUGAAAACAAACGUCUUAUUAUUUUUCAAUAAUAUAUAUUUCAAAGAAAAUACAACAGUUUAUCCAGGAAUAUAUCCUCUUUUAUAAUCACACCAGCAUUUAAAACCACGACAUUCCAACAUAUACCUAUCCUUUCUCAUACAAUGACGUGCACAUUCUUGACAAAAACCAAUUUCGUUCGUAGCAGCAUGGUUUCCAUGAAUUUCAUAAUCGGGAAGUUGAUUUGGGCUUGCUGCUGGAUUGGACGUAUGAGUUUUAUCGCCAGAAAUAGAUUUUGUCAUAUUAUUUGACGCACCUAUAAAAUUUUUCAAACAAAUGUUAGUUAUAGUUAUUAUAUUUUAAUAAAGGUUUUUGAUAUUUUAUAUAUCAUCUUUUCUAGCAAAACUAGACAUACAUGAUAAAACAAGAAUUAAAAGAGUGAAAAACAAAACAUUUAUCUUCAUUCCUGUUUUGGAAGUUCAACAACAGCUGUAAAAAGUGAGUUUUGGUUGAUGUUUUAAGUUUAUUUUUUUGUGAAAUUUAUAAGUUUAGUUGUGUCAUAUUUAUAGCUGUUUUCACUUAUGUUACACAAUAGUAAUAGUUUAAUCAACAUCUUUUAAGUAAUUAAUAGACAUUAGAAAAACUGUUCUUUUUUUUAAAUAAUAGUAUUUGUUUUCAAAUAUUCAUAUAAGUGUAAUGGUAAUUAUUAUUAGUCAUUAAUUGUUAAGCGUAGAUAAAAACAGUAUUUUCAUUAUUGUAUAUUUAUUUUUUGAUAUAGAGAGAGUGAAAUAGAGUAUGAAAUUUAACUUUAGAUCAUUAUCGAUAAAAUAUAUUAGUUAUCAAUGUUAUAAGUUUUAUGUUUAGUAGUAUAUUUUUAUACUAACAGUAUCAAAUGUAAGAACACAAACUCGACUUUGAAAUGGUUUUAUAUAUGCCUGGUGAUUUAACAAAUUUUUGUGUCGACGCACGUAGUUGUUGGUGCAUAUUAAUAAAUAUUAAAGAGAAUUUUUGAUAGCUAAUUUUUUAUCACCAAGCGAGUUUUCUCCGAAUUUUUACCCAUAUUUACAUGGUACUAGAACAAAUUUUUGUGUAAAUAAUUAGCUUUGAAAUUUUUUCCAGCAUAACCAGUUUUCAUUUCAGAGUUCUUUCAAGAUGAAUUAUAGAGAAGAGAAACUGUACAUUGAGAGUUUUUAUAGGAUAGUAAAUAUAUUCUGUAUAGUAAGACACUUUUUCUCAAUGUACACAUUCUCUUAAUCCACUCAAAGUAGUAUGAAAGUGUUAUUGAAAAAAGUUCAUAGUUUAUAUAAAAUUGAUCUCUUUUUGUUGUGGUUAAUAACAUUGCACAAAAUUUAUGUCCAAUACAUUCAUGCGUAGAUAACACAUAUAUUUUUAUAAAGUGUAAAUAAUAUAAAGUUUCAAUGAAAAACUAACACUGAUUUGAAAACAAACGUCUUAUUAUUUUUCAAUAAUAUAUAUUUCAAAGAAAAUACAACAGUUUAUCCAGGAAUAUAUCCUCUUUUAUAAUCACACCAGCAUUUAAAACCACGACAUUCCAACAUAUACCUAUCCUUUCUCAUACAAUGACGUGCACAUUCUUGACAAAAACCAAUUUCGUUCGUAGCAGCAUGGUUUCCAUGAAUUUCAUAAUCGGGAAGUUGAUUUGGGCUUGCUGCUGGAUUGGACGUAUGAGUUUUAUCGCCAGAAAUAGAUUUUGUCAUAUUAUUUGACGCACCUAUAAAAUUUUUCAAACAAAUGUUAGUUAUAGUUAUUAUAUUUUAAUAAAGGUUUUUUAUAUUUUAUAUAUCAUCUUUUCUAGCAAAACUAGACUUACAUGAUAAAACAAGAAUUAAAAGAGUGAAAAACAAAACAUUUAUCUUCAUUCCUGUUUUGGAAGUUCAACAACAGCUGUAAAAAGUGAGUUUUGGUUGAUGUUUUAAGUUUAUUUUUUUGUGAAAUUUAUAAGUUUAGUUGUGUCAUAUUUAUAGCUGUUUUCACUUAUGUUACACAAUAGUAAUAGUUUAAUCAACAUCUUUUAAGUAAUUAAUAGACAUUAGAAAAACUGUUCUUUUUUUUAAAUAAUAGUAUUCGUUUUCAAAUAUUCAUAUAAGUGUAAUGGUAAUUAUUAUUAGUCAUUAAUUGUUAAGCGUAGAUAAAAACAGUAUUUUCAUUAUUGUAUAUUUAUUUUUUGAUAUAGAGAGAGUGAAAUAGAGUAUGAAAUUUAACUUUAGAUCAUUAUCGAUAAAAUAUAUUAGUUAUCAAUGUUAUAAGUUUUAUUUUUAGUAGUAUAUUUUUAUACUAACAGUAUCAAAUGUAAGAACACAAACUCGACUUUGAAAUGGUUUUAUAUAUGCCUGGUGUUUUAAAAAAUUUUUGUGUCGACGCACGUAGUUGUUGGUGCAUAUUAAUAAAUAUUAAAGAGAAUUUUUGAUAGCUAAUUUUUUAUCACCAAGCGAGUUUUCUCCGAAUUUUUACCCAUAUUUACAUGGUACUAGAACAAAUUUUUGUGUAAAUAAUUAGCUUUGAAAUUUUUUCCAGCAUAACCAGUUUUCAUUUCAGAGUUCUUUCAAGAUGAAUUAUAGAGAAGAGAAACUGUACAUUGAGAGUUUUUAUAGGAUAGUAAAUAUAUUCUGUAUAGUAAGACACUUUUUCUCAAUGUACACAUUCUCUUAAUCCACUCAAAGUAGUAUGAAAGUGUUAUUGAAAAAAGUUCAUAGUUUAUAUAAAAUUGAUCUCUUUUUGUUGUGGUUAAUAACAUUGCACAAAAUUUAUGUCCAAUACAUUCAUGCGUAGAUAACAUAUAUAUUUUUAAAAAAUGUAAAUAAUAUAAAGUUUCAAUGAAAAACUAACACUGAUUUGAAAACAAACGUCUUAUUAUUUUUCAAUAAUAUAUAUUUCAAAGAAAAUACAACAGUUUAUCCAGGAAUAUAUCCUCUUUUAUAAUCACACCAGCAUUUAAAACCACGACAUUCCAACAUAUACCUAUCCUUUCUCAUACAAUGACGUGCACAUUCUUGACAAAAACCAAUUUCGUUCGUAGCAGCAUGGUUUCCAUGAAUUUCAUAAUCGGGAAGUUGAUUUGGGCUUGCUGCUGGAUUGGACGUAUGAGUUUUAUCGCCAGAAAUAGAUUUUGUCAUAUUAUUUGACGCACCUAUAAAAUUUUUCAAACAAAUGUUAGUUAUAGUUAUUAUAUUUUAAUAAAGGUUUUUUAUAUUUUAUAUAUCAUCUUUUCUAGCAAAACUAGACUUACAUGAUAAAACAAGAAUUAAAAGAGUGAAAAACAAAACAUUUAUCUUCAUUCCUGUUUUGGAAGUUCAACAACAGCUGUAAAAAGUGAGUUUUGGUUGAUGUUUUAAGUUUAUUUUUUUGUGAAAUUUAUAAGUUUAGUUGUGUCAUAUUUAUAGCUGUUUUCACUUAUGUUACACAAUAGUAAUAGUUUAAUCAACAUCUUUUAAGUAAUUAAUAGACAUUAGAAAAACUGUUCUUUUUUUUAAAUAAUAGUAUUCGUUUUCAAAUAUUCAUAUAAGUGUAAUGGUAAUUACUAUUAGUCAUUAGUUGUUAAGCGUAGAUAAAAACAGUAUUUUCAUUACUGUAUAUUUAAUUUUUGAUAUAGAGAGAGUGAAAUAGAGUAUGAAAUCCAACUUUAGAUCAUUAUCGAUAAAAUAUAUUAGUUAUCAAUGUUAUAAGUUUUAUUUUUAGUAAUAUAUUUUUAUACUAACAGUAUCAAAUGUAAGAACACAAACUCGACUUUGAAAUGGUUUUAUAUAUACCUGGUCAUUUAGCAAAUUUUCGUGUCGACGCCCGUAGUUGUUGGUGCAUAUUAAUAAGUAUUAAAGAGAAUUUUUGAUAGCCAAUUUUUUAUCACCAAGCGAGUUUACUUCUAAUUUUUACCCAUAUUUACAUGGUACUAGAAAAACUUUUUGUGUAAAUAAUUAGCUUUGAAAUUUUUUCCAGCAUAACCAGUUUUCAUUUCAGAGUUCUUUCAAGAUGAAUUAUAGAGAAGAUAAACUGUACAUUGAGAAUUUUUAUAGGAUAGUAAAUAUAUCUUGUAUAGUAAGACACUUAUGUACACUUUCUCUUAAUCCACUCAAAGUAGUAUGAAAGUGUUAUUGAAAAUAGUUCAUAGUUUCUAUAAAAUUGAUCUCUUUUUGUUGUGGUUAAUAACAUUGCACAAAAUUUAUGUCCAAUACAUUCAUGCGUAGAUAACAUAUAUAUUUUUAUAAAGUGUAAAUAAUAUAAAGUUUCAAUGAAAAACUAACACUGAUUUGAAAACAAACUUCUUAUUAUUUUUCAAUAAUAUAAAUUUCAAAGAAAAUACAACAGUUUAUCCAGGAAUAUAUCCUCUUUUAUAAUCACACCAGCAUUUAAAACCACGACAUUCCAACAUAUACCUAUCCUUUCUCAUACAAUGACGUGCACAUUCUUGACAAAAACCAAUUUCGUUCGUAGCAGCAUGGUUUCCAUGAAUUUCAUAAUCGGGAAGUUGAUUUGGGCUUCCUGCUGGAUUGGACGUAUGAGUUUUAUCGCCAGAAAUAGAUUUUGUCAUAAUAUUUGACGCACCUAUAAAUUUUUCAAACAAAUGUUAGUUAUAGUUAUUAUAUUUUAAUAAAGGUUUUUGAUAUUUGAUAUAUCAUCUUUUCUAGCAAAACUAGACUUACAUGAUAAAACAAGAAUUAAAAGAGUGAAAAACAAAACAUUUAUCUUCAUUCCUGUUUUGGAAGUUCAACAACAGCUGUAAAAAGUGAGUUUUGGUUGAUGUUUUAAGUUUAUUUUUUUUGUGAAAUUUAUAAGUUUAGUUGUGUCAUAUUUAUAGCUGUUUUCACCUAUGUUACACAAUAGUAAUAGUUUAAUCAACAUCUUUUAAGUAAUUAAUAGACAUUAGAAAAACUGUUCUUUUUAAAAAUAAUAGUAUUCGUUUUCAAAUAUUCAUAUAAGUGUAAUGGUAAUUAUUAUUAGUCAUUAAUUGUUAAGCGUAGAUAAAAACAGUAUUUUUAUUAUUGUAUAUUUAAUUUUUUAUAUAGAGAGAGUGAAAUAGAGUAUGAAAUCCAACUUUAGAUCAUUAUCGAUAAAAUAUAUUAGUUAUCAAUGUUAUAAGUUUUAUUUUUAGUAGUAUAUUUUUAUACUAACAGUAUCAAAUGUAAGAACACAAACUUGACUUUGAAAUGGUUUUAUAUAUGCCUGGUGAUUUAGCAAAUUUUCGUGUCGCACACGUAGUUGUUGGUGCAUAUUAAUAAGUAUUAAAGAGAAUUUUUGAUAGCCAAUUUUUUAUCACCAAGCGAGUUUUCUCCGAAUUUUUACCCAUAUUUACAUGGUACUAGAACAAAUUUUUUUGUAAAUAAUUAGCUUUGAAAUUUUUUUCUAGCAUAACCAGUUUUCAUUUCAGAUUUCUUUCAAGAUGAAUUAUAGAGAAGAGAAACUGUACAUUGAGAAUUUUUAUAGGAUAGUAAAUAUAUCCUGUAUAGUAAGACACUUUUUCUCAAUGUACACAUUCUCUUAAUCCACUCAAAGUAGUAUGAAAGUGUUAUUGAAAAAAGUUCAUAGUUUAUAUAAAAUUGAUCUCUUUUUGUUGUGGUUAAUAACAUUGCACAAAAUUUAUGUCCAAUACAUUCAUGCGUAGAUAACACAUAUAUUUUUAUAAAGUGUAAAUAAUAUAAAGUUUCAAUGAAAAACUAACACUGAUUUGAAAACAAACGUCUUAUUAUUUUUCAAUAAUAUAUAUUUCAAAGAAAAUACAACAGUUUAUCCAGGAAUAUAUCCUCUUUUAUAAUCACACCAGCAUUUAAAACCACGACAUUCCAACAUAUACCUAUCCUUUCUCAUACAAUGACGUGCACAUUCUUGACAAAAACCAAUUUCGUUCGUAGCAGCAUGGUUUCCAUGAAUUUCAUAAUCGGGAAGUUGAUUUGGGCUUGCUGUUGGAUUGGAGAUAUGAGUUUUAUCGCCAGAAAUAGAUUUUGUCAUAAUAUUUGACGCACCUAUAAAAUUUUUCAAACAAAUGUUAGUUAUAGUUAUUAUAUUUUAAUAAAGGUUUUUGAUAUUUGAUAUAUCAUCUUUUCUAGCAAAACUAGACUUACAUGAUAAAACAAGAAUUAAAAGAGUGAAAAACAAAACAUUUAUCUUCAUUCCUGUUUUGGAAGUUCAACAACAGCUGUAAAAAGUGAGUUUUGGUUGAUGUUUUAAGUUUAUUUUUUUGUGAAAUUUAUAAGUUUAGUUGUGUCAUAUUUAUAGCUGUUUUCACUUAUGUUACACAAUAGUAAUAGUUUAAUCAACAUCUUUUAAGUAAUUAAUAGACAUUAGAAAAACUGUUCUUUUUUUUAAAUAAUAGUAUUCGUUUUCAAAUAUUCAUAUAAGUGUAAUGGUAAUUACUAUUAGUCAUUAGUUGUUAAGCGUAGAUAAAAACAGUAUUUUCAUUACUGUAUAUUUAAUUUUUGAUAUAGAGAGAGUGAAAUAGAGUAUGAAAUCCAACUUUAGAUCAUUAUCGAUAAAAUAUAUUAGUUAUCAAUGUUAUAAGUUUUAUUUUUAGUAAUAUAUUUUUAUACUAACAGUAUCAAAUGUAAGAACACAAACUCGACUUUGAAAUGGUUUUAUAUAUACCUGGUCAUUUAGCAAAUUUUCGUGUCGACGCCCGUAGUUGUUGGUGCAUAUUAAUAAGUAUUAAAGAGAAUUUUUGAUAGCCAAUUUUUUAUCACCAAGCGAGUUUACUUCUAAUUUUUACCCAUAUUUACAUGGUACUAGAAAAACUUUUUGUGUAAAUAAUUAGCUUUGAAAUUUUUUCCAGCAUAACCAGUUUUCAUUUCAGAGUUCUUUCAAGAUGAAUUAUAGAGAAGAUAAACUGUACAUUGAGAAUUUUUAUAGGAUAGUAAAUAUAUCUUGUAUAGUAAGACACUUAUGUACACUUUCUCUUAAUCCACUCAAAGUAGUAUGAAAGUGUUAUUGAAAAUAGUUCAUAGUUUCUAUAAAAUUGAUCUCUUUUUGUUGUGGUUAAUAACAUUGCACAAAAUUUAUGUCCAAUACAUUCAUGCGUAGAUAACAUAUAUAUUUUUAUAAAGUGUAAAUAAUAUAAAGUUUCAAUGAAAAACUAACACUGAUUUGAAAACAAACUUCUUAUUAUUUUUCAAUAAUAUAAAUUUCAAAGAAAAUACAACAGUUUAUCCAGGAAUAUAUCCUCUUUUAUAAUCACACCAGCAUUUAAAACCACGACAUUCCAACAUAUACCUAUCCUUUCUCAUACAAUGACGUGCACAUUCUUGACAAAAACCAAUUUCGUUCGUAGCAGCAUGGUUUCCAUGAAUUUCAUAAUCGGGAAGUUGAUUUGGGCUUCCUGCUGGAUUGGACGUAUGAGUUUUAUCGCCAGAAAUAGAUUUUGUCAUAAUAUUUGACGCAC